GGCAAUCCAGAUUUCAUCUUAUUCUCCAAAAUCCUUUUAGUCAUAAAUGGAAGAAAUACUCAGAAGGACAUUGUCUACGAAAUAAAUCUCGCAGAUUUCAUAAGAUACUGCUAACACAAUGUUGACAUCACAGUAGCUAAAGAUGGAAUAUAGGAUUUGAUGGUGAAUAUCUGAAAUCAGAAUCAAUAGAGAUACCACCAAAUCCCCAUUGAUUUGAAAAUCAAAUUAUGGAGAUUUUUUUCUAUCUUUCCUUUCAGCAUUUUUGUGGAGAUAAUCUAUAAAUAAAUAUUCUCUUUUCAACUAUGACUGAAUGUAGACAUAAAAGAAAGAUUCAUAGGGAUUUUAGAUCUAUAAAUAGGGGUGCCUGGACAAGUAAAUACCACCUUAGGUUGAAUAAAAUUGCCAAUUAUUUUCCCCUCAUUGUAAGUUGUGGGUGUCAUUCUCAUUGCUUUCUUCCUCCUAUCUUGCUACUAUAUUUGUUGGGUAGCUCUUCUUCCUUUAUAGAGAGAUCAUCACAUGCACUUUAAAGUUUAAAUGAAUAUUUUAGUUCAUGGUACCCCUUGAACCACAUAAUAGAAGACCUAUAAUACAUCUACUCAUGCUAAUAGGAUUAUCUUCCGAGGUCAUCCAUUCUAGAAAGUCCUCAAUCCCAUAUAAAAGGUCAAUGCCUCCACUCCACCUAAAUUACAGUCAAAACUAUGUGCAGGCCAUGAAGUGCAAGCCUACUUAGCUGCACGAAAUCUAACACAUACCCUAAAAUUAAUGCAAUUACAUUAACAAGAGUUACUUUCAAAGUCGCCUUUUUGUGAAAAUACCGAUCCCAAAAUAUAAACGUAAAUGGCACCAUCUCAUUAGAUUCUCAAGCAACAUCUGUUGUGAGCUGAAAUAUCAACACUGUUGAGAAAUUAACCAUAACAAAAAAGUAACACCAUUGAAUUAUUCAAGGCAUGUCUUUGUAAAAGCCAUUUUGAUCAAAGAGGAGAAUGCAAGAAGAAUUAUGGGGAUUAUAAUGUUUGCUUCAUCAAUAAAAAUGUAAAACGACAAACCACUUCUUUGUCCAAAGUGAUUUCACCCAGAUGUCAAGGCUUAGCUCACCUUUCAGCUUUAGAACCACACAAGUAGAAAAUGCCCUUAUGAUCAAGUACUUUAUUGGCUUUUUAUCAACAUGAUUCAACAAUGAUGAUUGCUCAGAUUCUGCUUUGCCAUAAAUCCCUCCUGAAGACCCACAACUAAGUAACCUAACAGAAACAUAUUGAUGUCAACUCAAUCUCCAAAUUUUGCAUAAUUCAACUUCAAACCACAUUAAAGUAAAUGCACUCUCCGUACUAAAUCCCUUUUGUUGUAGUUCAUUGUGCAAAUAAUUCAAAGUUGUUGCCUUCCAAAAGGGUGUCCUUAUUCUGACUUCCUGAACUCUAGUUCUGCAACCAUUAAAAGAAAAUGACAAACAUUUAUAGUUCCCGUUACCAUACUCUCCUGAUUCUUUUUGGUAAACUAAAAACCCUAAAGUUGCAAAAAUCUCCAACAAAAUGUUCCUGAUUUCAGGCUUCUAAAUUAACCAACAAAGCAUCAAACACUUUGGCUUGUGUUUUGUUCUCAUCAUCUUUCUCAAACUAGGGAUGGCUACUUUUUUGAUGUAUUUCUCCAAUAUUACUCCUUGAGAGAAAUCAACUAAUUAUUCUUGAGAUAAUCAAAGUAAAUGAAAUAUAGCACAUGUACAGGUCAACUUGAUCUGAAAAACCAGAAUUGCCUUUGGAAUUAUUGCCUAUGUUAAUGUAACCUCAUCUUGUAACACAAUCCCCAUCCAGAUGUGAGACUUACUCUUUUAUUCAUAGCUUUAAGCAAAUGACAUUCCCUUCCAACUCUUCUCCCUAUCAGUAGGUUGAGAACUCCUAACCAAAUCUACAACUUAAAACAAAGGAAAGACCACAAUAAUAUCGUUCCUAAUGACUCCACUGCUCGGAAACCAGAAUAUAAGAUAGCCUCUUCUCCCCCCAAGAGGUCCCAACCCAUAAACCACCCAUGAACUCAACUUCAAAGACCGCAAGAUGAUAAAUUAUACAAAUUACAAGGAAAACGUAAUUUUGAGAAAAUUAAGAAAAAAAACUUUCGAUUUAGGGGGCUAACCGAGCUGAUGUAGUCGACCAACGCCGCGUUGGCUUCCCCGUCCCUCGCCGGAGCGUCGAUCUGCACGCCCAGCGCCUCGUCGCCGAAAUCUGAGGCCGACGGACGGAAGGAAAACUAGGGUUUUAAUGCGACAAAAUAGCAAUAGGUGAUCAAAAGGAGGGGGGUUGAGGAGAGGGAGCGAACCUGUGAUCGUGGCGACCUUAGAGCCCGGUUUGGCGUGGACGGUUAUGGCGACGGAGGAGGUGGGUAGGAGGCGGAGGCAGGCGGGAAUUCCUGCCGGCGCUGCCGGGGCGAUGGAGGCCGGAGCGGCGGAGUCGCCUUUCGCUUUGCCUCGUUUGGACGGUGCCAUUCUCUUGAACAUAGGUACCGCACCACCACCGUGGAGUACUAGUUCCCAAUAAACACGGCAUAUGAUAUGCCGUCUUCUGCGAGAGAGAUACGGCCGUCACGCCCCACCGUGAAGCUGAUUCCUGACUCAAACUUGAGCCGACCCUAAACUGGACCGGACAGAGAACAAAUGGAUCGGAAUCAAAGUCAGGCUUACUGAACUUUGAGAUUGGGUUUGGAAUUGAGAUUUAUAUAUACACACACACACACACAUACAUACAUAUAUAUAUAUAUAUAUAUAUAUAUAUAUACUAUANNNNNNNNNNNNNNNNNNNNAGUAGUAGUUAUUAUAUACACACACACACACACAUACAUACUAUAUAUAUAUAUAUAUAUAUAUAUAUAUAUACUAUAAGUGCUUUAUAUAUAUAUUCUUCUAAAUAUACAAAAUUGUAUGAUUAUUCUUAUAAAGUUGUUAUUUGUAUGUAUACUUACAUAAAUACUUGUUUUGCAUGUAUACUUUUUUUUAUUUCUUUUUUUAUAUGUGUAUCUAUACCAUCUAAUGCCGUUAAAAAAAUAAGUAGUUUAAAAUUAAAAUGAUUGAAAUACUUUUAAUGAGUAGACAUACAAAAAAUAUAUAUGUAUAAAGAUAUCUAUGCAAAUAGCAACUUUGCGAGAGUAAUUAUCCAAUUUCGCAUAUUUAAGAUAAAAGCUUAGUUAGAUUUGCCAAGUCUUUUAUAAUCCAAUUAUAUCGCAGUGGAAUGAAAUAAAGGCUGGUUUGGGUUGUAUCUUUUGCAUGAAAAAAUGAUUAAUAUUUUUUCACAAUAUCGACUAUUGGAUUGCACAUUACAAAUCUCAAGGCACUCCGAACUCUCUCAUUCAUUUGUCUGCGCAAAUCUCGAAGUGACCAUUGUGCAAUCUAAUAGUGGAUUCAUGCAAAAGGAGGGAAAUCAUUCUUUCGCGCAAAAGAUACAACUCUUGUUCAUGAUGACCAAGGUCAUAAGUGAAGCUAGAGGCCAUCCUCUUCCUCCCCUCUUUAUAAUAACUUUUCCUGCCCGUUGUAGCAAUGGCGAAUAGCUUCUAGGCCAGCCAACCGCCUCUCUACCCAUCCCCUCUAGUUCUCAAGCAACCGCACCUCACUUUCGGUACUUCCCCAAUUGUCAAAACCCAAGCCUUAGUUCCCUAAUUCCAUGUGGUUUCUUCAUGAAUUUUUUAAAAUACCAUCCCCCAUUUAAAGUUCUUGUAUUUAGUGACCAAAAUGGGAUUACCAAAGUAAUCUUUGAUCAUUGGUAACCCAUAUCCUGAGGUGAUUUGAUCCUCGAUGAUCUUUGAUUAUUGCAUUUGGUAUGCUAUAUUCUAGUGAUCGAAGAUCUCUAAGUAUCCAUGAGUAACAUAUUUGGUAUUAUAUAAAAACCCAAGAUUAUUAACCAUAUAGUACAAAAAUUACAUCUGAUGUCUUCCAUAAAAUAUAAUUUUUAAUCAAAUAAUAUAUAUAUAUUAUUAAUAUAUUCUAUAAAAAAUAUAUUUAUUAAUUCUAUAAAAAUAUAUUAAUUGUUAUUAUAGAAUUAAUAUUUUUGUUUAUGGUUAUAAUAUAUUAUUAUUUUAAUACUACUAUUUAUUUUGAUUGGAAAAAUAAGGCAAGUGGAAGUAAUCUAUUAAAUAAUUUCAAAAUUUGAAGAUAGUAUAAAUACAAAAAUUGCUAUCUAUGACAGUAUAUGAUUAGUAAUAUAUUAUAGUAUAAUAUAUAUUAUAAAUACAAUAUAUGUAAUAUCAACAUAAUAUAAUAUAAUAUAAUAUAAUAUAAUAUAAUAUAUUGAUAUAAUAUGUGAGGUAUAUUAAGAUACCAAUUUUUCUUACUGGACCGAGGGAUAUUUUUGUUGCUAAAUUUCAACCCAAGAUCACUGCAUUGGGAUGAUCUUAGAUACCCGACCUCAAGCACCGGUUUUUCAUCACUAAGUUAGACAGUGAUUUAAUAAAUGAGGAUGAUUUGCAUCACUACUAUGUAGAAAUCAUUAUGGUGCAAUCAAAUAUGGUGAUCUCGUCGCAUCCAUCCACAUUAUCUUUAAUUUUGAGAUGAUCAUCUCAUACCAAAAGCCCCAUAAAGAACGAUCAAUCUUAAUCUUGAAAAUUUUAUAAUUCAGAUUCGAUUGGGCCUGUGUGCAUCUCUUGUUUAUUAGUAGCCCGAGACGAAAUUUUNNNNNNNNNNNNNNNNNNNNGGCCGGGCCGGCCCGGCACGGCCCGUUGCCCAACUCUAUGUGCAUCUCUUGUUUAUUAGUAGCCCGAGACGAAAUUUUGGUUGAAUUCACUCGUGGUUUCUAUUUUCGUGACUCUAAUAUCAAUGUUACGGAAUCUGGUUGAAAUUGGUUUAUUGACAAGGAGUUCGUUAUUAGUCCGCCAAGUAUACGAUGGACAUGCAUUUUAUCAGAUACGGGGCAAGUGUCAUCACCUCCAUAGAAGGAAGUGAACCUCCUUGUCGAUCUCCACUUUUCUUUACCUCUUACAUUCUUUUGCAAAGAUAUUUGACAUCAUCACAUAGUUCCUAGGUUAUUGUAACAACCUGAGAUCUCAUCCAAAAUGGCUAGCCGAAAGAUAUGUUUUUGGGCUUCUUAGUUCCAUAUAAGUACUCAAGAUCUUCUUAAUAAAUAAUUGAUAUGGAACUAAAUACAUACCUGCACAAAUUCUCACAGUCAUCUUCAUCUAUCUUCAACAGGCUUUCUCCAACUUCUUUACCCAUCUUGAGGUCCCUUUUUUUUUCCCACAUCUUAGGUGUCUGCCAAUGCCAACACUUGCUUCUAGUAGCAUGUUGUCUGCGAGAUCCUAAGCUUCUUUCAAUUGGCCUGCACGGCCAAGGAGAUCAACCAUGAAAACUUAGUGAUUCAUUUUCGAUUUGUUUUUUAAUUUUCAUUAUGCUCAAAGUCGUCCAUAGUAUCUUAUUCUUUGGCACGGUCUGAUCAAAUACUUUUCUUGCUACUAGUAAAUCCCAUUGUUUAAACAAGAACAUCCAUUUGUAAUCAACAAAGCCUAGAUCUGGGUUCCUUCACAAACUUCUCCAAGACCACUGCAUGCUUUCAGUGUCAGAACUAAAUACUUUCUCAUACAUAAUCUUAUGUGUUCAUUGCCCAACAUGAAGAUUAGAACUAAAACCCAUCUUGUCGACACUUUCAGCAUCAAAUCCUUCGAACAACUCCUGAGGAGCUUCUGCGAUCCUUUGCAGCUCCGUUUUGCUCGGUAUGAAACUCCCCACUUGGGCUAUCAGAGAAUUGGAAAAUCGAAUCAUGCCGGCGUUGAGAAACUGCACCAAUAUGGAAGAAUUGAAGCAACUCCACGCUCACAUUCUGGUCUUUUCCCUUUCUCAAAGCAACUUCCUUGGAACUCAAAUCAUAAAUAUUUGCAAUAGCAAUCGAAGGGUAGACUAUGCUGCUCUAGUCUUCAACCAUGUGGAGGAACCAAAUCUGUUCCUCUACAAUGCCAUGAUCAAAGCGUGCACCCAAAACCAGCAUUGCUCUGAAGCAAUCAGCCUCUACAAACAGAUGUUGAAUCGCCGACACGCCCAAAAUUCAGUUCUUGCUGAUAGAUUUACCUAUCCAUUUGUACUGAAAGCUUGUGCCGGUCUACUUCUCCUUGUUCUUGGCAAGCUGGUUCAUGUCCAUAUAUUUAGAUCCGGGCUGACCUCUAACUCUAUAAUUCAGAAUUCGCUGAUGGAGAUGUACGCAAAAUGUGAUGAUUUAGUCGAUGCACGCAGAGUGUUUGAUGAAAUGGAGGACAGAGAUGCGGUCUCAUGGAAUACACUCAUCUCGGCGCAUGCUAGGCUGGGGCAAAUGAGGAAAGCUAGAGCUUUAUUUAACUCGAUGCCUAGUAGAACAGUGGUUUCUUGGACUGCAUUGAUCUCUGGGUACACCAUGGCUGCUCAGUUCUUUGAUGCGGUGGAGGUAUUUCAUCGCAUGCAAUUGGAAGGCUUCGAGCCUGAUGAUAUUAGUAUUGUAUCAGUUUUGCCUGCUUGUGCUCAGCUAGGGGCUCUGGAGCUGGGCAGAUGGAUCCACGCCUGCUGUGAUAAGCAUGAACUGCUUCAAAAGAGCUUCAUUUGUAAUGCUCUUAUAGAAAUGUAUGCCAAAUGUGGGAGCAUCGAUCAGGCUCUUCGAUUGUUUGAGGAAAUGAAAGACAGGGAUGUGAUCUCAUGGAGCACGAUGAUCGGAGGUCUCGCAUUGCACGGGCGAGCUCACAAAGCAAUCGAACUGUUUGUGGAAAUGGAGAAAGAUGAAACAGUGAGGCCAAAUGGCAUUACAUUUAUUGGUCUCCUAUCUGCUUGUUCUCAUGCUGGUUUGUUGGAUGAGGGGUUCAGGUACUUUGAUUCGAUGAAAGAGGUCUAUGGUAUUGAUCCUGGUGUCGAGCAUUAUGGGUGCAUGGUGGAUCUUCUCGGUCGUUCAGGCUGCAUUGAUCGUGCAGUAGAAUUUAUCGAGAGCAUGCCUGUUCUACCGGAUGCGGCUGUCUGGGGGUCUUUGCUCAGUGCUUGCAGAACUCAUGGUAAUAUUGGGACAGCUGUGAAGGCAAUGGAAUGGCUCGUUGAGCUCGAGCCAGACGACAUUGGGAACUAUGUCAUGCUUUCGAAUAUAUAUGCAGCAGCCGGGAGAUGGGAUGGUGUUGCAAAGAUGAGGAGAGUGAUCAGGAGUAAGAGCUUGAAGAAGACACCAGGGUGCAGCUUGAUAGAGGUGAACAAUGUGGUUCAGGAGUUUGUAGCUGGAGAUGAUUCGAACCUGCAGUUUGGUGAGAUAUCAGGGAUGCUAUACUUGUUGGCCUCCCAGCUUGGCCAUUAUGGAUAUCAGAGAACAAUGGAAUCUAAAGAAUAAGCAAAGCUUACAGAUUCAUCUCACAAGCUCGGCAACGAUAUUUGUUUUGCUCAGUAAAUAACGCAAAGCUCGAAGACGAGACAGAAGAGGUAAAAGAAAUUCCUCAAACAAGUGACUACACUUAAACUGCAUCUCACUAUACUUUUGCUUGCAUGUAUGUCAUUGGCAAAACAAAAUUGCAGUAGUCAAUUGAUACCAUGAUGCUUUAUGAAGAUUUUUUCUAUAGAAGAAACCAUGAUACGCCAUAUUGAUCCGAACCGGACGGUACGCCGUAUCAUAUCUAUUUGGUACCGAUACCCUGGUACAUAUGGUAUACCGAUAUUCGGUACGCUAAAAAAAAUUUCGUACCAUACCGUACUGAUACUAUGCUAGUAUGGCACCAGUAUGAAUCCGGUACCGAGACAACGAACCUCAGAAGAAACGAUAUUAAACUGACCUUAAAUGCUGAGAAAAAUAUUUGAUGAGAAAGCAUAAUUUCUAAAAGUUACGUGUCAUGAUUUUUGUCCUGGAUGCAGCAGAUCUUGAUAGCAAACCUUACCUAGACCUACCUGGUGGCUAAACUAAUCCACAAUGGAUUCAGUGAUCCUUCUUGAUCAUUAACAUGCCAUGGUUUUUAGUGUUUUCCAGCAACAAGUAGAAGGUGGCCCUGGUGAAAUCAUCCAACAUACUUUUUACUUAUUGUUGAUCAUAAUGAUGGAUGAAAACAAAAAAUAAAUGCUCUAAUUUGGUUGAACCUUUCACAUUAGUUAUUCUGAAUGCUUGAUUUGCACUCGGGGAACACAUGGACUGUGCACUGAACCCAUAGCGAGAAUCGCUUUUAGGUUAAAAACAUGACCUGUGAGUUCUUUAUCAUUGUUCAUCACAGUAAUGGAUCAAAAUAAAAAAAACAUAAACACUCUAAUGGUUGAAGUUUUUGCAUUAGUUACUGACAAUGAAGCAUCAUGCGAAACUUAUGGCUAUGCGCUGAACAACACAGUAAAGAUCACUUUGAAGUUAAAAUCCUAAAGAAAAAUGUCUUUGCAAUUACAGAUAAAUACAAAAUAUACAAUGUCUGCAAAUAUACUAACAGAUUCAUCUUACAUACAACUUAUACAGUGACAGAAUUCCAGGAUCAGCGGAUCUUCAGAAAGCUGGAUCCAAUCUUAUGGCUAGGAUAGAGCCAAUGCUUCGUUUCAGCUGGAGUAGGGGGAUGAAGAGGAGAAUGAACUGUACUUGUUUGAUUUUGAAAAUGAUGAAAUGGCCAGGUACUAAGUUACAUCUUUGACAGAGUAGCCUGCAUGCUUGAAACCAGGAGCAUACUAUUGAAGAAACCCUUCAAUUGAAGCUGGAGAAUAUCCUUCCGUAAAAAGAAUGCAAUGUUGAAGCUUCAUCAAUCUCCAACACAAGAUAAACUGAAGUGUGGAAAGCAACUGAUGGAAGCAUUCAAUUUCAUGAUCGGUGCUGCCUCAUGUUGUCAGGCAUUGCCAGCAGGACUGAUGGUAAGCUUCAAAUUUUUUGAAGGCUGGACCACAAUAAGCUAAAUGCAGAGAUCCAAAGGGCAUGCCAAAGUCCAAAGAUAAAAAACACCAGAAUACAGCUUGAUUUAGCUGAACAGUUAGCUGAAGACCUGUUGGCUGUACAACUUACUUUCUAAACAAACAACUCAUAUUCUCAAGAAUCUGUGAUGAUAGAACUCAUCAAAUGACAGGCGUUUCACUGCAAAGGAUAGAGAACUUCGUCAGCAACACAUGAUACACUAGAUGAAAAAUUGAGGUUAAAAGUACACACCUGGGUUUUUGCACAAAAGCCUAGCACACAUAUCAAUAGAGUCAAGAUGCAAACUGGGGAGGAUGAGCUGUGAAAAUGGCAAGGACGUACUACUCUUUAUGCUUUUUAGAAGCUGCAGAAGAAACCAACAUUAAGCCAGAACAAAGGCAAAAAGGAAGGUUACAAUAAUGAUGCAAUAAUCUUAUUUGUAAAUAGAUUAGCCACCUGAACAUUGUUACUGCCACGAAAAGGUGGAUACCCAUUCAGAAGCUCAAAGAAAAUUGCACCAAUGCUCCACAUAUCUACCUGGUUAGAGAAAGCAUUUCAAUUUGCUGUCAUUUGAGUAGGAGGAGAGAGCGACUUUUACCUUGUCGUCAUACUGUUGAAAUUCCAUAACCUCUGGAGCCAUGUAGAAAGGUGUUCCACAAACUGAGUCUGCAAACUCGCCAGGAUGAACAGCUCUAUUUGAAAGCAGUAGGAGAACAUGUAAGAAUUCCUUCUGAAGAUAAACAAUUAGUUGUACAAAAUACUCUGAAUUCUGAUAUGGAAUACUCCAGUAAUUUGCUACCGAUACCUUGAUAGACCAAAAUCAGCUAUCUUUAGCACAGCAUCACUGCUGGGAGUAGAAAGUAGAAUAUUCUGCUCCACUAACAGCAAAUGUCAAUGAAUUAUGAAGAGCAUGAAUUCUAUAAGUAGAAUUAGAUGGUUAACAUUGUUCUGUACCUUCGGUUUCAAGUCCCGAUGGAUUAUGUGGUGAGCAUGCAUUACCUCCAAACCUGCUCCUGCAAUAUGAAGAUAAAUGAACUAUUGUAUCAUAUCCACAAUAUUAGUGGGACAAAAAUACUUGCUUGAUACUUAUCAGUUCAUUGAUGAUACAAAUACCUAGCUGCUUCAUGAAUUUUCUGACAGUAUUUUCAUGCACCCUCCCUUUUUGCUGAAUGUAAGUGGCUAAGUUUCCUCCGGAACAGAACUCCAAAACAAGGAAUAUGCAUCCAUCAACCUGAAAUGGGAAAAUAUCGAGAAGCAAAAGAGUGAAAACGUAAAACUUCUAUUAAUGUUCAUCACAGGGACCAUGAUGCAUAACUCACAAUAAUGGAACUUAUUUUGAAUUCUACUUUGGAAGUUUUGAACAUGGCUGGUGUUUGUGAUAAAAAAAGCCCCAAAUUAUUUGGCCUUAUUGAUGUAAAAAGGCACCCAUGUAGAUAUACACAUAAUACAAUCCUCAGUAGGGAGUUGAAAACCCUUCUUUUCCACUGAAUCUUCAGGUGAAACAGCUAGCUUUAAGAAAAAUAAGGUGAUCUACAUCAAUUCUAUAAGUUUCUUGGAGUUUUAAAUGUGUUCAGCUGUUGCAUUUGAUCUUAUUUUCUUUCAUUUUGCUCUUUUAAUGGAUGAAGAAACUCAUGAUUGGCCUUCCUUCCAACUUCCGUCAUAAAAAUUUUGAUAGAGCCAUGAUGGAACACAAAAUAGCCAAGGCUCCACCAUCAGAAUUUCUGGUAAAAACUCCGCAAUGAAGCACCAGUCCUAGUUAAAAGGUAUUGCCCUCCAACAACAGGUUAAGAAAAAAUUUGCAAAAUUUUCGUUACUUGGCAAGUUCAAAAUUUCCUAUUCUGAACAGCAAGCCCUGGAUAUAAAGCUCAAAGUUACUGAUCCUCCUCCAAUAAAUUGCCCCCAAACCCAAAAUAUUCCCAUGAAGCAUGUGAUCAGAAGCUAAUGAAGUCUAUUACUCUAGAUAUUAAAAGCCCUAAAGUUCGAGCAAACAACUCCUCAAAAGCUCCAACUAUUUGAUUUCCGAACUAAGAAUUCAAUCCAAAUACCAAAACCUGGUUCCGAAACCCCAACUAGCGGCUAUCCAAAAGAGCUAAUGGAACCAAUUUCUCGAUAGAAUAAACAACCAAAAACUUUCAAACUGGGAAAUCAAUUGAAAGCUCAAAUCUUUACAUUUCUGAACUAUUUAAUUCAGUCUAAACAUCAAAUCUCUGAUUCAUAACCCGCAAGAAGCCUCAAUUUUAAGCUCUUUCCCCUCAAUCAAAAGCUUUAAAACACAAGUUUAACGUCCAAAUGAAAUAAAAAUGAGAGAAAAAAAAAAGAGAAAUGAAGUGGAAAGGGAAGGAAGGGAACCUGGAAGACAUCAAGGAGGCGGAUGAUGUUGGGAUGGCAGACGCUUGCCAAGAAGUUGAUCUCGCAAUCGAGGCAUUCCCUCAGGGUCCUGGUGAGCCCCGAGAGGCGGACCUGCUUCAAGACGACGUCCUGGCCGCUCGAUCGGUGGACCGCCCUCCACACGAUCGAGAACGGCCCUUCCCCUCCCAGCCUCCCCCUCACCUCGUACUCUCCGUCGCCGGCGAUGGACGGCGGUGGCCGCUCCUCCGUCAUCCGUCCCUCGCUCUCUCUCAUCCUGGUCCCCUCUCCGCACUACAAGCCAUCACUGUUCUCACGAGCCAACCGACAAGCACGAUCUCAAGCGUUUUGCGAGUCCCCGGACAGCUACCCAAAUGGAAGUAGACCCGCUUUUCCCCAAACCAGCGCCAAAUAAACCGUCGGCUGUGAUUCAGGGUUGACAAUUAUAGCAACCGGGCCAAGCCGGAUGGACGGUAGAUCAAAAAUUUAUCAAUUUAAAUUUAAUUAAUUUAUUAAAUAGAUAAAAUUUUAGAUUUGAAUGUGAUAAUUUUAUUAAAUAGAUGAUGUAAUCAAAUCUAUAAUAAGUAAAAAUAAGUGAAAUGGGGUAAAUAGCGAAGCACCGCCUUUUAUACUUAAAAAUGGAAGUAGUUGUAUUUUUGAUGCAAAAGGAGGAUACAUCUUUCUUCGCAUGAAUCCAUCAUUAGAUCACCAUUGCACAGAUCUCAAAGCAACUCGUACUAUCAUCAUCCGCCUCCGCAAAUCCCAAAGUGACUGAUGGAUGAUUCAACGGUGGAUUGGUGCGAAUAUCAAUGAAUAUUUUUAUCCAAAGAUGCAACCCCACUCUACUGAAAUGGGCCAGAGUUCCGUUGGGUCAACUGUCAAAUUGCGUUUUCUAGGCCCAAAGCCAGUUCUGCUCCCCAAAAUUUAAUUAAAGAUUUAUCAUAUUUUUCCUAGGGCUCGAUAUACUUUUUUUUUUUCCCGUUAUUAUCUUCUGUUCUUAAAAUCUUCCUAUUAUGAAGGGUUGAAAAGAAAAAGGAGGGGGUCAAAUUUUAGUUGUCAAGUAGUCAAGUAGAAUUAUAUCCUUGAUUUUCUUAAUUUCUCUGCAUACUGAUAAGUAGAAGGAAAAUCACACAGAAAAAAGAGGGAAUGGGUUGGUGCUCUCACAAAAAUCAUGACUUAAAUAUGUUUGAGAUUAAUUGGAUCAACAUGAGAUUGCAUACUCCAUGGAAAAGGUGUUUUUCUUCCCUAAUUUUCAUAUGAUUCUGAUUUGCUCCUCAACUUUAUGGCUGAAUCCUUUUUUUCACUAUCUCAACAAAAUGGGCUGGCACUCACUAACUUUUCAAAAAGAAACAAAUCAUAAACACCAUAACAACAUGUCAAGGAUUAUAGUGCAGGAAGAUCAGUUUAAUGGUCUAAAUUAGGUUUUCACAAUGAGGGAAAUAACAAAAACAUGCAUAUUUAUAUACAAACACACGUACACUCAACACACACUAAUCAGAAAAUCAAAGCAAUUAUUUUUUUAUGUCUUCAAAAAAAGCCCCUAGGCAAGAUGGCUUCCCUCCAUUUUCUUAAAAAUGAAUUGCAAGAUAGUUAACCUAGGGUGUGUCUUGCAAUCAAAAUAUUUUUCUUUUCGUGGCAUACUAUUGGGCUUGCAAAGAACGGAUAUGUUUCUAGGGCAUUGGACGAAGCCCCAGUUGAUCCUUCUAAAAGCCUUCAUGCAAGCAAUGGUUCAUUCAGAUGAUUGCCUCGGAAAAAUCUUUGAUAGCUCGAAAAAUCUAUGGUUCUUAUCGUGCAAUUCUUGCAUCUCCUAACGUAAUAUUUUUUACUUAGGAGCCACCAUCCUCUUAUUUCCUUGUGAUAUAUUUUGAUGGUAGGAUUCAAGAUGAAGGUGGCCAUGGGCGAGCCGGCUUUGUUAUCUAGAGCCAUAGUUGCAUGUUUUUUGGCUGCUGGGGGUACGUAGCUUCUUGACAUUUCAGCACCGAUACAAAGUUGCAUGGAGCAUAGGAGGGGUUGACUUAUCCUAUCAGAGUUUUAGGGCAUGCACAUCACUUUAGAAGUGAUUUCAAAACAAUGAUAAGCUGGUGUCCAUCAGGUGGCUGAUGUAGGAGGCACUCAACCUUAGUACAGGACAUCCAGCUAAAGGGAGCCACUUUUGUAUAGUCUGAAGCAUCUCAUGUGUACAAGGAAGCCGGUAGCAUGGUUAAUUGGGUUGCUUCUUACAUGGUCCAUCACUCUAGUGCAGUUUUUUUGGGACUCCAUGUUUAUUCUUCCUUCCCAAUUUCGAGAUCUUUUGUAUAUACCAACUCUCAAGGUUGGAUUUACACUAGAGCUAUACAGCUCAUUCACUUCAUCUUAAAAAAGAAAAAAAUCCCUUUCUUGAUACAUGCUUGAAGAGUAGAAGUCAACUUUCUAUCACUUUAAUUUCUAAAACACCUGAUGCCUUGGAGUCUUGCCAUUAUUUUUUUAUUUUUGAUAAGGCGAACAGAUCAUACAUGCCUAAUAUGAAUAUGCCCAAUAAAAUUAGAAAACAAAAUACCGUUCAAAUAAGUAUAAACAGCUAGAGUGUUGGUCCAAAGGACUUUCCUUAUAGUGCUCCCCAACAAACGAGUCUUGCCAUUAUUAACCAAGUACUCUUUGAAACACUAUGCGCUCUUUUCGAGCCCGUUGAUUUUCGGGGGUGGAGUUUUCUAGAUAAUAUCCUCAUAGCUCAAGGAAUAAUGCAUGAAUUGGAGAGAGCGCAGCUGCUCAAAAGUUUGACAGCAAUUAAACUUGAUACGAAAAGAGCAUAUGAUCGCAUGAGAUGGGACUUCCAGGUCCGUGGGCUUCUUGUCUUGGACAAGGCUGUCCUCUCUCGCCGUAUCUGUUCAUAUUUUGUGCUAACUUGGAGUCUCCGUUGCUAAAUCAGGCUAUUGAAUAGACCAAAGUUACAGGGUUAUCAACUCACUCCUCUGACGCCUCAAAUUUCCCAUCAAUAUUUUGUCGAUGACUGUUUGCUGUUGUUUGCAAAGGCAAAGAUAGUACAUGCUGGAGAUAGUACUAAAUCUGCUAGUACUUGGCAGCACUUGGAGUUAAUCCAAUCUCUAGUUAAAGCCUUAAUUCUUCUAACUAUAAUUUUUUCUCUGAGAAAAUUGCCACUAAGCUUAUAGGAUGGAAACGGAGAUCACCAUGACAGGCUUCAUUAAUUGUUCUAACCUAUUCUGUUCUUAGUUCUUGGGAAAAUGCAUCGCAUGGCUUGGGAGGUUGUUUAUUUUAGAGCCUAACAAUCUCUCAUCCUUGACAUGAGGACUAAAUAUAGGGUUCUCAUUGUCGAAUAUACCUUAAAAGCUCCCAGAUAUUACUCAGCCAUUUGGAGAUAAUUAUGCAAGCAUACCGAUGUGAUGAGAACUUAUUUACAAUGGAUGAUUGGAGAUGGCUCAAACAUCGAUGUGUGGAACAACCCUUGGUGAUUCACCUCGUCAACAUUUUCUCAUUUUACUGCUUUAUUUGAUGCUAAUUAAUUACUGAACUGUAAGAUUCCUGAGCUACUCAUUAGUGAAAAGAAUGUAAGAUUUAGAGACUCCAUUACUUUUUAUCCAGCAAUUGGUGCAACAAAUCAAUUCUAUUCCUAUACCUUGAGGAAUUGAAAAAGAUAGACUGUUUUGGGAGCCCCAAGAACGUUGAGGGCAAAUUUGGUGCAUGGUAGUGCUUGUGAUAGAAAUAAUUUGACUGUUACCAGGACGUAGGAUAGAUUUGGAAACUUAAGAUUCAGCCAAGAGUUGCUCUAUUUUGGUGGAAGCUUGGAUGGGUUAAAUUAUCAUGUGUGUGUACAUUCUGGCUUCAUGUAAUGAAUGUGCUCAAGUGGACAUGCAACUUGGAGUGCAUCUUGGAUCCCUUGAAGAGCCAAGCUGCAUGCCAAGGAAUACACCUCCAACUUGAACACCAAGUCAUCUUACUUGGUCUAGGGAAACCUGGGUUUCUCCUGCCAAGUGCAUUGUUCUCCUGCAGAUGAUUCAAUUCACUUAGGAACCUCCAUCUCUCGGUUCCAUUAACAUAAAUUUCAAUGGAUCGGAUAGAGGAGGGAUUAGCAUUGAUGGUGUGGCUAUGUUAUUACGGAUUAUCGAGGAGCGUUAGUAGUAGUUGGUCUUGUGCUCUUGUUUCUCACCAAUUAGCCUAUAGUGGAACUUAAGAGCUGCAUAGGAGGAGAUGGUAUAUAUUACUGAGAAAUUGAAUAAAGCUCAGAAGAUUUGCCUUGAAGGAGAUUCAAAAACAGUAAUUAAUAGUAAGUAUCCAAUGCCUUAUUUAGAUGUUCAUCCUACGAUCAUCGAUAUCUGGAGGAUGUCCACGAAGCUGGAAGCUUUACAAGAAAAGCAUGCUUUUCCUCAAGCUAAUUCUACUAGUAAUUGGAUCGCCACUCAUAUUGCCAACAAUUCGAGAGGAUAUACUAAUUCUCGUGCAGUGUAACACAUCUGUCUUACAAAAAAAAAAAGGGAGCUAGAGGGGCGGGUUGGUCAAUUUUGUUUAAAAGAAAUCAAAGUAAAAGAAGAAUUUAAUGCAAACAUUGUCCUCAUCACAAUGAAGUGUUUCCAUGCAAUAAGAAGAAGACAUCGCAAUCAACUGCCGCGUUGCUGAAGGCAUCCAUUUUGGACGUGUGUGCGCGAGCUUUGAUAAAUUAUUUACGCAAUAUAAUACAUAUGACAAGAAUUUCAAGCCUCAGCUCUAAGUUUCAAUGCAAAUCAUUGGCACAUCAUAUUCUUCCUAAUCUCCUUUUUCGCAUUCAGUUUUGCCACAAAAAAAUAAAAUAAAAUGGAGAGAGAUUUUCUUAGCAAAGAGAUAUAUUCAACAACUCUUGGGGCCCUCCUUAUCUUUUUACCGUGCAUGCAUGCAUGCAUGAUUGAAGAGACAUGAUAAUUGCAAAUCAGUCCCUUGUAGGGCCUUCUGCUCUGAAAAACUGAAGUGAUUCUUUUUUUCCACAGGUCAAGAUCUAACAAUGCCCCACUUGCCGGAUUUGCGCCUUUUAGGCCCCGCUGAAUGCAGACUCCUAGACGCCGCAUCCGGGCCCACAUGCAUGUGACGCCGGAGCUCGGUUAACAUUAUUGCCUAGAAGUCUAGAAUCGAAGGCACAUCCUAAUUAUGGGAUAUAGCAGCCAAGAGUUUAUGAAAUAAACGUGUCUUCAGGUUCUCAAAUUCUUAUUCACUAACAACAACCUUACUGCCAUCUUGUUCAGCAGUGUAACCAUAUAAAGUUAGGGGAAGAGUAAAUAACUCAACAGUUUGGAAUACAGGGAUUUUUUUAUGGGUCCCUUGCAGAUAAGCAGACAAACAUAUAAUUUAUCAGCCAGAGGAGCAAUGUGAAAGCACCAUAGCUUGAGUCUUUUUUUUUCUUUUGUAAAUUUUGGUAUCUUUUGUGAAUGAGCUACUAAACCAUUUGCCUUUUUGUGAGCAUUCAUUUAGAAAUUUCUCUAAAANNNNNNNNNNNNNNNNNNNNNNNNNNNNNNNNNNNNNNNNNNNNNNNNNNNNNNNNNNNNNNNNNNUCAUCAGUUCUUGGUAGUGGAAUUUCUAGAAUUGAGGACAAGGUGACAAUUGGGUCAUUGACAUGGAAAAACUUAAGAUUAAUGAAAAUCCAUAUGUUUGGAUUUUGAAUAUGCUUAACUGCGACAAGGAAUGGUUUCAUUGUAUCGGUGUUUCACUAUAUUAUCUGCCAUUUGCUAUGAUAAGGAAUAAUAAUGGCCCUUGUAGCAAUUAGUAUUUUAUUCUAACAAAAAAAAUAUUUUGAAGAUUAGACUCGGAAUUUUGGCAAACUGCUUCUCGUGACUAGUACAUAUGGGAACUACAAUCGCUACAACAAAAAUGAUAACUAGUAGUAUUUUCAAGUACCACUAUAAACAAAUAGGAAUGUUGCAAAUGUUCCUUCUAGAUAUUUUUAUGGCAUUUUCUUAUGUACCAUCUUAGAAAUUAUAAGUACCAGCAAAAAAUUCUCAAAAUAAAUUUUAUAAUCUAAAAUUCAAAAAAAGAGAGGAUUUUCGAACUAAUAAUCCCUCUGAGCUCUUAACCACCGGCCACAACUUAUAUUGUUCUUACACAGGAAUGGUUUAGUGAAAGAUCAUUUAGUAAAUAAAAUAGAUAAAAAUAAAAAAUAAUAUUAGGUAAAUAAAAAUUAAAAUAAAAAAUAAUAAUAGCUAAAAAUUGGAGGUGGAUAAGGAUAUCAAAGAUAAAAUUAGGAAUAGAAGGAAAAUAAACUUGUUUGAGAGAAGUUGGCUUAGAUUGAGAGAAAGGAAUUCAGACAUUAUGAAGAUAUAGAAGUUUGAAUAAAAUUAGUAUUUUACAUGCAUUUUUUAAUUAUCGAUAUUAAUGAUUGUUAUAUAAUAAAAUUUAUUUGUAAAUCAAAUAAUAUUUCAUUCUGGGACAAAUUUGACAGGCUUAAAGGGCCCCUCCAAUACUUUUUUACGGAGUAGAUGAGUAAAGGUAAGUUUAGGUACUUUCUAGAAAACAAAAAUAUUUUUAUAUAGCCAAUGAUUUGGAUAAUACUGCCAGUGUAGGAAUUAACAUGUUCAUGUUGCAACCUAUCAAGGUCAUUAUGUGAUAUGGAUUCACAUCAAAAGAUGAGUAGUGGUAUCAAAUGCCUGAACAUAACUUUUCUUUUCUUUUUCUUUUUUCUAGGAAACUCGAUCAAAAGAUCUAGGGAACUUUCAUUAAGGGAUUGAAAGAUAUAGUCUUAGAUUUACAUGAACAAAUCAUGUUUGGCUUCAAUUAAACAUGACAUACAAAAAAAUGGAUAUUGUAUACAUCGUUAUUUAUUAUUAUUAAUUCAUGAAUAAUCAAUAUAGUUUAUUGAAAGUGUAUAUUUUAGUUAUGAGAGUGAUGAUUAGUUUAAGUGAUAAAAUGACUGAAGAUUGGGUACUAGUGAUUUGGGUUGGAGUCCCACUUUCAACAUAAUUUAUAAUCUUAAUAAAUUUUCAUGGCCUUGCCCAUGAUCACAGAUAAGCCCACCGGAUUACACCAAGGUGGAAGUAGUUUUAGUCCUUAAAACCAAUUAAUAUAAACACAUGAAGUGUCGGGGGAAUAAUUAAAAGCAUAUGGAAAGAUCCGCCGGCAUUAAUUCCGCUACAAGCGAAAUGAUUGAACCCAUCGUACAAAACUGCCCCCACUCAAAUGAACGUGAUUAGACGCUAUUAACUUAUAAUAUUAGCCGUACGAAAUAAAUGUGCGUGUCAUAUGCGCGUGUGUGUAUGAAAGAGAUAAAGCAAGCCGAGAGAAGAAAUUAUACCCUUGGCCAGAAGCACAACUGGCAGCCCCGUGGACCACACCAAUCAUAAUUUUUAUUUUUGUGAACUUACAUUUUAUCGUACAGCUUGGAUUAUUCCAAUAACGCAUCAUUGAUAUAAUGCACUUGAUCUAGGGUAUAUUUUCUCGAGCGAGAGCAAGAGGUAAACAGAAAAAUUAUAUCCUACGUCCAAUCAGUAUUUUGGCCAUGUGUAUCAGCUCAGCAAACAAAAAAAAAAAAAAAGACUUUCCAAACGAAUACUCUGCCCCUCCUCUGAAACCCUAGCCUAGCACUCUUCCUCCCCUCUCUACUUUCUUCUUUUGCCUUGCCUUCCACCUCUAGCCAUGUAGCUUCCGCAUCUUGGUAGCCCAAUGAGAGCCGCAGUAAGGAUAAGCUCCGAGCACUCUGCAUGCUCUUAUGUAGUUCGUCAAUGAUGGAAUCAUCGAUCAAAUAUUGUCAAAGCUUCGAAAGAAGCAAUCUAGUAGGAGCCGCACUGAGGAUGAGGAGCUUUGAGCUGUCCAUAAACCCUUAUCCAAGCCUAGCAUUGGGAGAGACUGGAGGCCAUGAAAGAAGAGGAAGAGGGCUAGAAAGUGGAAGCCACAUUUUUUUCCCCUCUUUGAGUUCAUCAUGUUCAUGUGAUGGCCUAUUAUUGACUUGGUGCACGCUAAGUUGGGACAUCGGAUGUAGGGUAUAAUUGUGAUAUACAUGUGAUAUGGGAUAUAAUUGUGAUAUCAAUGUGAUACAGGGUAUAAUUGUGUGUGUGUAUGUGUGUGUGUGUGUGUGUGUGUGAGAGAGAGAGAGAGAGAGAGAGAGAGAGAGAGAGAGAGAGAGAGAGAGAGAGAGAGAGAGANNNNNNNNNNNNNNNNNNNNUGUGUGUGUGUGUGUGUGUGUGUGUGUGUGUGUGUGUGAGAGAGAGAGAGAGAGAGAGAGAGAGAGAGAGAGCGCUUAGUCAAGAAGUAGUGGUCCCGAGUGGGAAAAAAAAAGUUCAUGUCACGUUUUCAAGCUGGCAUGCACUCUCCGGGGCGAAAACGACAGUGUCCAAGUUUUCCUUUUGGGUCAGCAAGGAAGUCCAGAAACUCGUAACCAGCAGCCUUGCAUGGAUAAACUAAGGUCCAUGUCUUAUUUUUCAUUUGAAUCACAGUUGCCAAGUCCAGUAACGCGGCACCUACUACCUAGUCUCUUCGCCUAUAUAAAGGAAGGUUGAGAGCCUGGGUGUUCUCAGACAAGGGAAGCUCAACUGGGUCGAGACACGUACGUUAGACUGAUGGAUAGGAGAGGAAGGGAGGAGGCCUCCAUGGCCUGCCUUGUUUCCACUCUCAUGGUGCUCUUUGUUUCUCUGAGCUUGCCUCUUCAGACACAAGCAAAUUAUCCUUACCCAUACAAGUCACCACCACCACCACCUCUCCACCACCACAAACCACCAACACUACCACCUCCUCCUGUUUACCACUACAAAUCACCACCUCCCCCUCCCCAUGUCUACAAGUAUAAAUCUCCACCACCACCUCCUUACCACCCCAUAUCACCAGCUCCUCCUCAUCAUCAUGCCUACAAGUAUAAAUCUCCACCACCACCUCCUUACCACCCUGCUCCUAUCUACAAGUACAAGUCACCACCUCCCCUCAUCAUGCUUACAAAUAUAAAUCUCCACCACCCCCUCUUCACCACCCUGCUCCUGUCUACAAGUACAAGUCACCACCUCCUCCUCACCAUGUCUACAAGUACAAAUCUCCACCACCCCCUCGCCAUUACAAGGCACCUUGUCCUCCUUCCCCUGUCUACAAAUAUAAAUCACCACCACCCCCUCCCUACCAUCACAUAUCACCAACCCUACCUCCCUACCACGACAAGUCACCACCACCACCCCCUCCUGUUUACAAGUAUAAAUCACCACCGCCACCUCCCUAUCACUACAAGUCACCACCACCUCCCCCUCCAGUCUACAAGUAUAAGUCUCCUCCACCACCUCCACAUGUUUAUCACUACACUUCACCUCCUCCUCCUCCCUAUCACUAUUAAGCGGCAGAACACCGUCGAAACCAAAAGGGUUAGUUGCUUGUAUUUUCUGAGCUCAGAAUAUGGUUAAAAAUGAAGUUACUUGGAGUAAUAACAAACGGAUGUUUCUUGUUCUUUCUUUCUUUGUUUUCUUUCUCUUUUUUUUUUAAGAGAGCUAAUUAAUUAAGCCGAAGCCAAAUGGAAAACACAUGGGCAAUUUUAAAACAGCACCAUUGGAACAUAACCCCCCUCUCGUUUUUUAUUAUUUUGCAGGGAUGAAGACUUAUCUUUCCUGAUGGUUGCCAUAUAUGAACCAGCAUCAAGUGCAGGUUUUACUAGGGUUGUGGAGAGUAGAAUAAAGCAAUCGAGGUUCCUUCUACAAAAGAAGUGGCCCCUGAUGCUUCUAUGGAGUGAAUAAAGUUGCUUUAUAUCGUGUAAUGCAGAAGCAUCUGCUUAGUAGCUGGAAAAGAGUGGAAAGAGGAGAUAAGCAUAUGUACUUGCUCUUUCCUGCUUUUGAAUUGUAUUUUUGUUAGUAUUUUGGCAAAUCUCUAGGGAUUUCCUUCAAUCCCUCCUACUAUGUUCAGUUAUAACCCAGAAGUUAUUACAAUCAUAACUGUACUUGCAAGUAGCCAGUAGAAGCAUGUAUGUCCAGUUGUUGAAUGCACGCAUUAUACAAAGUUUCGGGUAUCUGAAGUAAUUAAAAAGUGGCCAUGAAGAGUGAAAAGCUCUUACAUUUAAGGACUAAUUAAUUUGCAUGGAGCGGUUUGUCAUCAUAGUAGAGACAUGAUGAAGAUAAGUUUGAACAGCUAGUGAUGGAGCAAAAGAGGAUGAAAAUGGGGAAAAUCCUAGAACUGUAAAUGAGGAAGUGACUUUAAGUCGAUAAGUAGUUCGACAUCAUGAUCAUACCUAUGAUCAAAUGCAGCUAGCUACAGAUGAGAUUUAUGCAUACUAAAUUUGUUGUUAUUCAUGACCCACCCUUACAUCAACUAUAGCAAUUACAAUAUUGAUUGCAGUUAGGCCAUUUGAAUUUCUACAAAGAACACCUCGAACUACCAAAUUAAUAAGCACUCAGUGAUACCACAAUGAGGCAGCUAAUAAUCUACAAAUCUUGUGGGCCGCAAACAUAAUCCCUAGCUUAUGUUUUCCAUGAUAGAAAUGAUUAAGCCAGUCAGAAAAAACUGACUUCAAAGAGUCACCCUAUGCGAGCAUUACUCCUCUCAUAAUCUCCCUUAAAGAAAGAGCACGCCGCCCAUAUAAGAAUUGCAUGGUAGAACUCUGCAAGUAAUCAUGCCAACCCUCGUUCCUGGGAUCGAUUGAAGGAGGGAGAGAAGCCAUGAUCUCAUGAAACAGCAUUUAUCUUUUUGCUAAUAUUAUCAGGUCUAUGAAUUAAGCUUGAGAGGCAACGCCAGUCCAGAUCAAGACUGAAUCAUAAUGCAUGGUCCCAAAAUGUGGUUAGAAGUGUAAAAUAUGAACUAAAUUAAAGCAGAGAUCAAAAGGACAAUUAAGGCCAUUAUCAGGAAAAGCAGACAGCCGAUACAGAUUUUUGUACAACCUUUGGACUGGAUUGCUUGGAUGGCAAACUGCCGACAAAGACUGAAAGAUCCCUAAAUUAUUGUGAGGUUUCUGACGUAUUCUCUUAGCUGUCUUCUUCCUCCUCCUCCUCCUUUUUAUUUUUUAAUUUGUGUGCCUUGUAUCAUUCACAAUCUUCUGAAAACUUUUCGUUGUAGAUUACGACAUUACUGUUGUUCAACUUCUCUUUCCCUAUCCACUGGUUCUUGCACCAAGCUGGAAAGGAGAGAGGUCAGUGUAGGGUCAUGGAACCAGAAUUUGGUGGCUCAGAUACGUGCCCACCUUCACCCUCAAAGCUGAAACUGAAAGUGCACAGAAGUAGAGAAGGCAAUGAAGAGCUUGAUUAGUCAAAAGAUCGCCAAGAUGAAGACCUUACAGGAAAGAAAAAUCUUAAGCUGGACUUCACUCUUGGAGGGUAGCUUUGGCAGCAACUUCCACGCAAGCUGCAAUAAUUGGAGGCCUUUUCUUUCAAACAUGAUCAUAUCCUAGCAAUAAAGGAGAACCAUGUUGGAUCUAGGAAAAGUGUGCAUGGAGUCUAAUGGACAGCAAUAAUUUUAACUAAUUAGAAUCACGUAAUGGUCGUGUUUUAAAGAAAGAUUGGGCUACUUUCAUUUGUUAGCUUUUAUAUAAGCGUGCCUCUGUCUCCUCUCCAAAACCAUAUAAUUAACUCUUUGCAUGAAAUGUUACCUAUUUUUUUUUAAAAAAUAUAUUCUUUAAUUAGUUUUUUCUAUCUAAUUCUAAGGAUGAUCUAGCUUUUCUGCAAUUUUUUUCUUUACAACUUUGCCACCAAUCGAUCCCGCCAUACUUAUGUGAUUUGACUUCGCUUUUUGUGACUUUUUAUAUAUAUAUAUAUAUGUCUUUACAGCUUUGUUACUCUUGAGCUACGUACUAUUGAUCCUAUAAUAAUUGCAUGCUUUAGCUUUUGUGAUGAUUCUUUUGUCUUUACAACCUGGCCGCUCUUCUCCCACUAGUUUAUUCUGUCGUAUUUCUGUGCUUUGCAUUUGCUUUUUCCGCGAUGUAUAUAUUCUUGUCUAUGGAUUAUGUAACUCAUAAGUGGCGCUUGGACUGUCAGUACUACAUGGCAAUCCAAUUAGCACUGCGACUGGGCUCGCUCAGAGAUGCAAACAACAGCUACUCCCCCACCCUCCCCAGAGUGGGGCCUUUGUGGUAGUGAUCAGGUCAGAAACUACGUACUUACUCUCCAGUAAAAAGAGUGAAUACGUAAUUAUCAAAAUAACUAGCUCAUCAUAAUCAGGCAGACAUUGAGCUUUACAUGAAGAACCAAAGCUUCCACUAUCAGCAAAAUGGAAUAAAUUAGCUUUCAGAUCCGUCCAUUCCUAAGUCACUUAUGAGUAUUUCGAAUACAGACCUAGCCAGCCUGCAAUUCUAUAGUUCUGCUGGUCAUACUAGCUCAACCCAUAAAUGCCAUAUAUUUUCAACCAAUCAUUCAAAUAGAUCUUAUAUAUUUAAAUCUAAUAUACUAUAUUUUUUUAAUAAAUCAAAUAGAUAUAAAUAUAUCUGCCAGAGUUAGCGAGGGUUAGAAUUCUAUAAUAUACUUACGGUAUAGUUGAUACAUAAGAUACUAUUCAAUCGACUGCAGUGUUAAUUUUUUAUACAAAACAUUUUAAUAAAAAAUAAUAUAUGCAUCACAUGCAAAUAAUUUUUUUUUUUUAUGCAUGAAAAAUCUCAGGGUGCAUCCAAUGGCAACAAUCCACGCAGAAGGGUUGGAAUCUACUGACCCUCGCACCGUCAAUCGUUACAGUGGAGACGUGCAAUAAUUGAGUUAUAACGAGGGAACAUCAUCUUGGGACGUGGAGUGUCGGUAGAGCCCGGAGGGCGGGCCCGGUCGGCCAGCCUGGUGUCUCGCUUUCCGCGUCGCCUUGGCCAUUUUUUCCAUGCACGUUAUCAUCACACUCAGCAUCUGACCCUUUUGUUUCUUGUCCCUGCUUGCUUCCGUCUUAUCGGAAUGAGAUUCCACUGCUACUUCCCGUUGUAAUCCGGCAUUAGCUCCCGCUGUCCACCUCCACAUGCGACCCAUUUCUUUCAUGGGCCCCCUCUCUCCUUUCCCACAACCAUCCCCAAUUCUCCACAAUUCGAGUCCAAUAUCCACAUUGUCAACGCUUCAAAUGCUCAAUCAUUAGCCAAAUGCAAAUAAUGCUAGGAGAAAAUCUGGAUCCAUCUUUGAAUUGACUGCUAACUCCUCAUCUUUGGAUUAUCCAUUUAGAUAUAGAACUGAAAUAGGAUCAUCUCCGAAUCUAAUACCAGUGUAUUUAUAUUCAUGUAUAUUUUAUUUUGAUGAAUAUAGAUAUGAAUAUGAAUGCUAUAUUUAUUUUAAAUAGAUACGGAUAUAAAAUCGGAUGCUAUUAUAUAUAUAAAUAUGGAUAUAAGUUUAAUUAAAUUUUAUAAUCAUAGAAUCUAAAGAUAUUGCUAAAUAGAUGAUAAAUCUAAUUAAUAGCAUGUUAAUGUAGUCGUUUAUCUUUCUUAAAAGUUUAUAAGUGCUAUAUAAAAUUAGAUGGAGUUACAAAUAGAGUCGAACAUAGAUAUGGAUACGGAUAUUAGUCAGAUGCUCAAAUUGCUAUUUAGAUUCGAAUAAAUUCGGAUAAAAAAUAGAUACAGAUGGAUAUUAUUCGAUCUACUUUCACUUCUAUUUACAGAUCAAGCUCAACCAUGUAUAAGGACUAAAAUGUAAAAUGAUAUCCACAUAAAAUGGCAUUCAACAAAGGACCAGAUGGUAAGUUUCCCAAUAAUAUUUGAUCGAUGUAGGAGAAGCAUGAUGAAUAUAGUCUAGACUGAACCGGGGAUGCUUAACUCGAUCUCCUGAUGCGACAGCAUUAGGCCAAUGGACACUCCAUUUGCCCUGGGUGGAAUCAAGAUCGGGGUGUUUAUAAAUCAUGCUUUCAACUGCAUGCACAGAAUGCAAAUGAUGCUAUCCAUCAGUGCUCAUUAAUGCAAUGGGAUCAAGAGGCAAGAAUCAACUCCAGGAACCAUGCCUGAAACUAAUCAGGAAUCUCGAUCUUAGAUCAUGUUGGUAACCACAUUGCCAGGGCUAAGGGCCCUGGUGAAUAUAAAUGUGUUUUAAUCUAUAUUCAACAAAGAGACAUUAGUUUGAUCAGUGUUUAAUAUAUUGACAAGUACUUAUGAACCCAUUGCUGCAAUCUAUAAAUUUUUAUUUUUCUUUAUAUAAUUUUUUUAAUUUUCUUUAUUUAAUAAUUUUCUAUUCAAUAUAUAUAUCUGACUAUUUUAAUUUAAAAUUAUUCUAAUCACCAAUAUUUUACUCAAUUAUGAUUAACUUGACUUAAAAUAAUUUCAAAUUUUCUUCAUUUAAAAAAUUGUCCUCAUUGAUUAUUUACUUUUCUUUAUUUCUUAAUUUUCUUUACUCAGAUAUUUUCUACCCAUGAUAAUUAUUCAACUACAAAUCCGAAAUAGUUUCAAAUUUUCUUUGUCUGACUUUUUCUUCAAUGUAAAUAUCCGACCACAUCAAUUGUACUCAAUUAUGAUUAGCUAGAAUUUGAUAUAAUGUUCUAUAUUCAAAAUAUUUUUACUCGUUCACUAUAUAUUUAUGUUAGAAUAAAUUAUAAAAACCUCCUUAAGAUCAAAGAUAAAUUGCACUUACACCUAAUAAUUUGAAAAGGCUACAUUUAUCUCCUUGAGGCUUAUUUUAUAAAACACUUUAACUCAUAACUUAGCAAAACAUUAGCUAGACUGUUAACAUUAAAUAAAACCCGAAAAAAAUUGAAGAAUGACCAAAACAAUCUUAAGUGAUAUAACCACCACUCAACGAACUAAAAAAAUAUAUACAUUCUUCCCUUCAUCCAAAGACAAUUUUGACUUUUUACCUAAGAUGAACAACCUUGCUAACAUUAUUAAUUUAACUAAACGUAAGUAUACAUUUUUAUAAACUAUAAAAUAUAAAUGUAAUAAGGAUAAACAUUAGGAGAAUUUUUGUGAUUUACUCUUAAUUUUAUUUAUUUGGCAUUUUUUUAGAUUUCUUAUUUAGAUGUUUUACAUUCACCAUAAUUAUCUGAUUGUGGCAGAUAUUUUCUAUAUCUAACCAAUUUGUAUAGCAUAAUUUUAACUAGCAUGAGAUUUUUACGCAUUUUAAAAAGAGGGGGUAACUUCGGGACUGAAAAUGACUGAUGAAAUCUGAAAGUAAUAUUUGGACUCAUGCUGCAGCAAGGUCUCACCCUCCUGGAAAUGGACGAGUUAGCUUACUUGUAAAUCUUAGCUACGAUCGGACACCCAUCAGAAAUUCAACGAAUAUCACCAUAUGGUUAACAAAGUGUAUGCAGUAAAGAUGCCCCAGCCUGCUGAAUCCCUUUACAUCAAUAACAUGAAGCUUCCAAGCAUUAUAAACUCCGAAAUAGAAGGAUGGUAACACAUCAACAGCCAAUAUUUAGUAUUUAAUACAAAAAAUCAGUAAAUUUUCAAUUCUUACAAGUCUCUUUCACUAAUCUUCCAAGUGACACACAUGCUUUCUGGCUUCCAGUAGAAAAGGUUCACUAAAGGAACAUUCACAAUAACAAUCAAAACUUGUGUGCGUGGCUUGCAGCUGGUAAGCUCGUAAUUCUUCUUGAUAAUGACAAUGGCAAUAACUAGUUACAACACAUGAACCAAAUCACAGAAAAAGAAAAUGUAGCAAAAAGAUAAUUGCAUACAUCAUGACAUCUCAACAACACUGCUUGCAUCUGCACAUGCCAACACCUCAGAAAAGAGUAGCCAGCAAAACAAAGUAUUCAUUAACCAGAUUGCUAAUAAAAUCACACGGAACAAUUAUGUUGCUGAUUGUUUUGGUAUCUUCCCUUCUUCCUGUUGACUUGUUUUCCCAGUUCCCUGCCAAUGCGGAAAAACAAAUGACUCGUCAACGUCAUGAGUUGCCCUACCAUACAAGAAACCUCAUUUAAAGAAGAGUAACUUUAUCAGAAUAAUGUUGAUACUUUAGCAGACAUAACAAAAAUACCAACACCUUAGAUUUGGAGGUCUGCCAUACCGACCCGUAGUGCCCUAUACCGAUCGUGCUGUACUAUACUGGUAAGGUAGUGAUAGGGUACUGAGGUUUGGUUCAAUAUAUCAGCCAAACUGGUCCAAACCGAGCGGAACUGCUCUACACAACCCAAUACUGGCCUGUAAUGCCCGGUUUUUGAGCAGUAAAUAGCUGAGAGAGAGAAAAGAGUGUUGCAAGCUUGAUGGAUGCCAUACCGAAUCGGUAACGUACCGAUAUGGUUUAGUACCAAUUUUGUGGACCUUGGAUUAAACAACUUCUAUUAUUAUGGGUGCACAGCUAGUCAACUUUAAAUUUAAUAACUAGAUGGAGGAUCUACCUGAAUUUGUUGCAAGAGUUCCUCAAGUUCAAUAGUUAUCUCCGAAAAAGAGGGUCGUUUCGCUGGAACCGCCUCCCAACAUCUUUUCAUCAACUCAACUAAUUUAGGAUGCGUAUUUUCCGGAAUCUCUGGACGCAAACCCUAGUAUCGCACAUAAAGAAGUAAUACGUAAAUAUGGUUAAAAACUAUAUAAAAAAAUAUUUUUAGCAUUUAGCCUACCAAUGAGUCAAUGAUAUCAUUUCCGGCAUUUAUUUGGAUUGAAAUCAUGGCUGUAAUAAUGUCUAUUAUUAGCCUUUUUAAAGGGGAACAGAUAAAACAAGCAAACUAUUUGAUCAUGACAAUAUUAAAAAACUUCUCUUUAUGUAGUUUGAUGGACAUUUAACUUUUAUUUUUUAUCAGAUGAGAAAUGAACAUGUCAAAUAACAGGUAUCAUUCUCCACCAUAUAAAAACUAUUACAUCAAAUAUCCAUUAUAUGUCCAACUAAAAGUUGGGCUUUCGAAACAUAUAAUUACCACUAUUCUAACCAUGUCACUGCCAAAAGUAUUUAUUUCAUGGAGAGAAAUUUUUACAAUAGACAUUGACACCUUGUAUAUUGAACUAACAAAAACAAUCAUGCAAGACAAUAGAAAGCUAGAGUCGGUCCAUGUGUGAAAAGCACUUAAAACCAAAGUUUUUUAAGUCCCAGUGGGACGAAAGGCGUCCCAGCCGUCCCGUCCCAUUCCUGUGAGAAAACGGGAAUAGGAUAGGGUUAGGAAUUCGAAACCCAUCCACAUGGGGAGAGAAGAAGAAAAGGAAAAAGUGGAAGGAAAGAAAAGAAAAAGAAGAAAGAAAGGAAGGGAGAACAAAAUGAAAGAAAGAAAGGAAAGAAGGAAGAAAGGAAAGCGAAAGAAGAAGAAAAAAUAAAUAAGAAAUACAGGAAAGGAUACAAGAAAGAAAAAGGAAAGGAAAGAACGAAAGGUAGAAGAAAAAGAAAGAAGGAAAUAAAGAAGAAAAAAAAAGAAAGAAAGAAAUGAAAGAAGAAGGGGGGAGAGAGACAGGAUGGUGUGGGACUUUGGGGCAUCCCGUUCCAUGAAGAAACCAGGACAUCCCCAUCACAUGAGAUUUAAAACUGUGCUUGAAAUAGUAAGUUACAAUCUUUCUGAUAAAAUAAUACAUUGGAUAGUAACACCAAGACACAUGGAGGAAUGUUAAUAAGACACAUGAAACAUAAUUUUUCAACCUAAAAUAUUUUCACAUGACAAGACUAGAGAGAAUUUGGAAAUAUGCGGACAUUGUCCUUGCAAUUCAGCCAAUGAACUUGAGCUAAAGCACCUAAGCUUGUCACAAGUAGGUAUGAAACAAUGAUAACCAUAGCAAUCUGUAACCAAGACAACUAGAUCCUUAUGAUCAACACAGAGAACAUUUUUCUAUGUGAUGAAAAAUACAAACCAGUCUUACUCCUAAUGCAGCUUGCAAGGGUGUCAUGGUUUCAUAUGGGACCUGCACAAUGACAUCAUAAACUUGUUACUCCACCUCAUAAUCAUAUGGUCCCAUCUUCCAAAAUUUGCUGGAUCAAUAAUCCAUAAGUUGAAAGAGGUGCAAUUUCAGCAUGUACCUUUGAUGUUACUAGCUCCCAGAGCACAAUGGAAAAACUGAAUACAUCAGCCUUAUGAUCAUAUGGUUGAUGAUUUAUAACCUGGAAAGAGCAAAGUUGUAAUAUAAAAAUCAGAAAAUAUGUUUAUCAUUAUUUAAAAUAUAAGUAUGAUAAUACUACUUUACAUGGUAUGAGGUAUGUAUCGAUUAUAAUUGUGGGAGAAAGUAAUUUUGAAGCAUUCACAAUUUAUUUUUCAGGUCAACACAUGUUUAUAGCUUCAAUUUUAUCUGAUAUGAGCCAUAACUUCACCCAUAUAGACCUAUAUCAUGCAAUGUAGUUAUUAUCAGCAAUACAGCUUAUAUAUAAAAUCCUGGAUGAUUAUCCACUUCUUUUAAUAAUUUCAUUUUGCAUCUUCUUCUUCCCACCAGGGCUCUAAAGUCUGCCUCAUGAACAACAGGAAGGAAUUUCAGCAGGAAAGCCCAUUCUAUAACUCUCUCUUUUUAUGGUUGUUUUCAUGAGAUUUUUAUUUCUAGCAAGGCCAAUGACAUCUUUUUUUUCUCCUUUUUAUGCCUCUUAUCCGAAAGAAUUGGUUUUGAUGGGUCUGCUGUCCUUGAAAAUGUCCUUUAUCAUUAAAAGAUUAUAUGAAAGUUUGAACAAUUUCUGCUUCAAGCUCUUUGCCUAUUUUUUAUUUUAUUCAAUUGAUGUUUAUGACCAUCAGGACAGAUACUAGAAGUGAUUUCUAAUUUCAUAUACUAAAUUACAUGUGAAUAACUCCUAUUAUUUCCAUAUGCUUUUGAACAACUCAUGUUUUUCAAUUUAAACAGAUCAUUUUCCUUUGAAACAAAUAGCAUUUGAUAAAGUUGAUGGCUUUUCAUUUGAACCAUAUAAAUUCAACCAACUUUUAGUUGACAUAAAUCAACAAAUUUUAGCAUUGAAUCACUUUGCUCAAAAACACAUCACUAGUCCAAUUGGACCGAUCCGGCCAAACCAACCCAACAUGAGGGAUGGGUGGUCUCGAUGGAUGCCUUCGAGCAGUGUCUAUCUCCCUGCCAUCAUAGAGAGGUAAGCAGUUGGGAAACCAUCACCAAGAGACGAGACUGGAUGUGCAAUUGCCACCAGAUAAAGGUGCAUGCAUGAUCCAUGCGGAACCAUUGCCUAACCGCAUCAGUGAGGAUGCAGCAAGCACAACCACCACCUUGUUCCCUCUCUCUUCAUCUUUCGAUUCGCUACCACCACUGCCAUUUCCAACCUCAAUCCUCUCCAUGCUCACCGUCCAGUGACUAUCUACCACCAAGGAAUCAACUUUUCCUCUCCUAUUUUUCAUUCUCUCUCCUCUGUUUCGAGUCACCAUCCUUCAGAUUCUUUCACCGUUGAGCACCACCACCACCACCUUCCUUCCUCCGGUGUCUCACUGUCAACAAUCACCGCAUCAGCGAGGGGCUCAUCGCCAACCAACUCUCCCUAUUCCCCCUUUUCUCAACUCCACCACCACCUCUCAAAUCCACUGCCGACAUUUAGUUCCACCACCACCUCUCGGCUCUCUCUCUCUCGCCCUUUCCCCUUUCUCAUAUCUAAGCUAGCCUGCCCUACCAAUCAGUGCCUAAGGGCCCCCAGUCACACUUUCCCCUAUUUUUUCCAUCAUCUCCAGACCCUUAUGCUCCACCUCCUGCGUUUUGAUUGUCGGUGCCUUGAUUCCAUCUUAAUGCAGUGCCCCGCCAAAUUUCAUCACCACCACCUUGUCGAGCCUUAUCAUUCCUUUUUUGCACCAUUCACAACUCUUACAGCGCCGAUGCCAACCAUGACAAACUGACCAUCCCUCCAUUCUACUUUCUUCUCCCUCUUGAUACCCGCCACCCUUCUUCCUCGAAUUUCUAUUAACUCUCUUCAAAACCCUCACUUAUUGGGGUAAUCUUUGACCCUAACCCUAAACAAACCCCCAUCACUUUGUAAUCAUCUUUCUUAUCAUUUUCCCUGACCCUAGGUGGUCUAAUUUUGUGUAGGGGAAUGACUUUCCGAGCAAGAAGACUAGUGUGUAGCCUUUUGCACUAAUCACUUGAUCGAGGUAAGCCCCUAACCUCCUUAUUUAAUUUCAAUAGUUCACUUGGAAUAAGGUUAGGUUAGAGAAAACAUAGGACUACGAUUAAUUUCGGAAAGGGAUACUAAAAAAUAGAAUUUGAAACUAAGGUACAUAGCCCCUUUCACAAUUUGGAUUGAAUUCCUCUCCUUGCUCGAAUAGGACUAGAUAUCCUAAAAUAAAUAUGAUUAUUAGAAAUAUUCUAGAAAAAAUUAAAAUUUAGAAAUAUUGUAAAACAAACUAAAAUUUCUGAGGAGGUAGAUCUCGACUUUUACAUUAACUCUGCCUUCUAUCGCUCCGCCUGAUUCUUCUCGAAUAGAAAACUAUGCCGAUCAAAGUUUUAUCCAAAAAGAAAACUUUCGGUUUGGCCAACCCAUUUCAGAGCCUAAAUGGUGGAAUUUUGUUCCAAUUCAACCUUUCCGUUGUAGAUCUUGAAAAGCUACCCAAUUUGAAAAAAAAGAUCAUCUCAAUCGGGCAUAGUAUAACCAAGACAUAACCUUCGGAAGUUUGUCAUGCGACUCGACUUUCCGAUGUGGUAGAUCUCGCUCCAGAACCCUAUCUAGCCCUGCUUAUAGUGGCCAAAGCAUUCCAUAUCGAGUCUGGUGAUCCUCUUGAAUACUUAUAGUGGCCAAAGUCUCCAUCGAGUUUGGUAAUCCUCUUGGAUACUCGUAAUAGCCAAAGUGAUCCAUAUCGAAUCUAAAGAUCCUCCUGGAUUAAGGCUCCCUCUAUUUAGGGUAUUUAGUUCCCACUAAAUUAGAACUGAAAGUGGAAAAACAUCUGCUUUCCCGUCUCACGGUCGACCCACCUAGCUUUUCUCGAAGAUGGUUUCUGACCUAGCUCUCCUUUGCUCUCGAGUCUCGGCAAACCACUUGCUCUGCUCUUGCAUCUGAACUUCGUGGUAGGUACCCUCCUUGUUCUUCCUCGUUGAUGACUAUGACAAUUCCUCCUUUGAUCUCAAUCUCGGUAAAUCGGUCAGUGGAACCAACAUACGAGAGUUUGGCCUCUUAUAAGUAGUAUUAAGUUCUCGUACCAUCAUCACAAACUUAUUCCAGGCAUUAACAAGUCGCUUUGCCUGGGCAUCAGCUACAAGGUCAAUGUUACCUUGUGUUCUAGAGGCAUUGAUCAUGAACUCCACAUCUUUCAUGAGACGAUACUUCUUCAGACGCCAGUAUAAGAUUACAUCUCGAUCCCAAAGGUACGGGAUCCCAAGGAUAACCUGCAAUCCAAAGGAACUACUUGAUCGGACUCUAUAUGGAUUACCAGGAGCUAAACAACGGAACAAGUAUCCCUUGCAAAGAAUUGAUGAUCUUUCAAUCCGUUACAAGGAUUGCAAGUCUUCUCAAAAAUUGAUCUUCACUCCCGGUACCACCAGUUAAAAAUUACGGUUGAAGAUGUGCCCAACAUAGCUUUUAGAACUAGGUAUAGACAUUAUGAAUCUUGCUGAUGCCUUUUGGGUUCACGAAUGCACUUGUAGGCUUUACGGAUCUAAUGAAUAGGAUGUUCAAACCCUUCCUAAAUCAAUUUGUGGUAGUGUUUAUUGAUGACAUCUUAGCAUAUUUGAAUGGCCAAGAAGAGCAUGAGGAAAGGAUAAUACUGCAUACCCUCAAAGAAAAGAAACUUUAUGCUAAGAUGCAAAAAUGUGAGUUUCAGUUGAGCAAUAUGAGCUUUUUGGGCAUGUGAUCUCUAAAGAUGGCAUCUCUAUGGACCAGAAGAAAGUAGAGGUAGUGGUUGAAUGGAGUCAGCCCACUAAUAUAUCUGAGGUGCGCAGCUUCCUAGGAUUGGUUGCAUAAUACUAAAGAUUCGUUAGGAAUUAUCUUGCAUUGCUAUACCAUUGUCUCGCUUGAGUUAGAAACAAGCCAAGUUUGAGGAAACAAAAGAGUGCGAACAAAGCUUCGAGGAGCUAAAGAAGAAAUUAGUGAUAGCCUUGGUCCUAACCAUUCCAACAGUGACAGGUUUCAUAAUUUUUAGUGAUGCAUCUUAGAAGGGUUUGGACUGUGCUUUGAUAUAGAGUGGAAAGGUAGUAACCUAUGCCUCCAGAGAGCUAAAGCCAAAUGAGAUGAAUUAACCCACUCAUGAUUUGAAGAUAGCAGAUGUGGUCUUUGAAAAGUGGAGGCAUUGUUUGUAUGAGGAGCCACGUAAGGUCUUCAUAGAUUAUAAAAGUUUAAAGUACAUGUUCACCAAAAGGACCUAAACGUGAGGUAGAGAAGAUAGUUGGAGUUAGUAAAAGAUUAUAAUCUGACUAUUAAUUAUCACUCAAGUAAGGCAAAUAUUGUAGCUGAUGCUUUGACCAGGAAAUCUUCAAGUGAUUUAGCAACUUUGAUCACCAUACAAGGGCAUGUUCUGAUGGAUCUAGAGAGGCUUGAAAUUAAGGUACGGCUGCAUCAUCCUGAUGCCUAGCUAGCUAAUCUUAAAGUGCAGCCUACCCUAAUCAAGAGGAUUAAGGCAUCUCACGGAUAAGAUCCAGAACUCCAAAGAUUAGAGAGGCAGAAUUUGAUGCCACCUAGAAUUCAGAAUACAUGAAGAUGGCUCCCAAAGGUUUGGUAGCAGGUUAUUUCUACCUAAAAUUCUAGAGUUGAAGAAAAAGAUCUUGGUUGAGGCCCAUAAUUUCACAUACAUUGUGCAUCUGCCCAUAAUUCCGCAUACAUUGUGCAUCUAACAACACCAAGAUGUACAGAGAUUUGAGAGAGAAUUUCUAGUGGAACGAUAUGAAAAAAGAUAUUGCUCGGUAUGUUGCAUAGUUUUUAGUGUAUGAGCAAGUAUUUAAUGCAAGGUUCGUCGUCUCGAUACUAAACCCCGUACUGGUGUCAUCCUAUUAUAGUGUCGAUACACGGCAUAGCACGAAACGGUGAGAUAUACUGAAUGUCGGUAUGGUACGAGACGGCGAGGCAUACCGAAUAUCAAUACGGUAUAAGACUGCAUACCAGUUUGGUAUCGCUAGGGUACGGUACCUACUGGUACGGCAAAUCUACGUUUAGCGUAUGAGAGACCUGCAGGACCAUCGCAAUCCAUUCUCGUCGCUUAGUGGAAAUGGGAGCAUAUUACCAUGGAUUUCGUGACCGGUCUAUGUAGAACCCCUAAAGGUAAUGAUGCUAUAUAGGUGAUUAUUGAUCGAUUGACAAAAUCAGCACGCUUCUUACCCUUCAAAAUUAGUCUUUCUAUGGAGAGGUUGGUAAAUUUGUCCAUAAAGCAAAUCGUGAGGAUGCAUAGAGUCCCAAUUGCUAUUGUAUCGAAUAGAGAUACUAGGUUCGUAUCUCAGUUCUCUAAGAACUUGCAUAAAGCUACUGGUCUAGAUUGAGUUUCAAUACAGCUUUCCACCCACAAAUUGAUAAGCAGUUUGAAAGGACCAUACAAAUUCUAGAAAAUAUGUUGAGGGCCUAUAUCUUACUUGGAUGGUGCUUGGGAUAGCCACGUCUCUGAUAGAAUUUGCCUAUAAUUACAGCUAUCAAAGCAACCAUUCAGCAGGCACCAUUUGAGGCACUAUAUGAUAAAGGGUGCGGGUCCGCCAUGCUGGGAUGUUGGCGAGAAGAUUGUUGGGCCUUGAAUUGGUAGAGCAAAUUAUGAAAAACAUUCAGCUAAUUACGGAAGGACUCCGUACAACUCGGAGUAGAUAGAAAAGUUUUGGAAUUUUAAGUAGGAGACCAUGUUUUCUUGAAUGUAUCGUCUACUAAGAGUGUGAUAAGGUUUGGAAUUCGCGGCAAGCUGAGUUCCAGAUAUAUGGGUCUAUUUGAAAUUUUUGAUAGAGUGGGAGUAGUAGCAUAUUAGCAUUACACCCACCAUCUGAAGUACACAAUGUGUUUCAUGUAUCAAUGCUGAGGAAGUAUGUGCUUGAUCCUAGUUAUGUGGUGGAGUUUGAGUUGUUGAAACUUCAUGAGGAUCUAACCCACAAGAAGUACACAUUAUGGAUUGAAACUUCAUGAUGCUACACUAUUCCUCAUAACAAAGUUCAGUGAACCAAAUACAUUUAGAGGGAGGCUUAAUGGAUACUUGAAGAUGAGAUUUAGAGUUAAGUACCCUCAACAUUUUAGGACCAAAUAAUGUCAAUUUCAAGGAUGAUUUUUUUUUCUUGGGGAGAGGAAGCAAGAACCGAUACAAAUCCAAAUGGACCAGCCCAGAUGAACUGACCCAAAUUGAGGGUUGGAUUAUCUCAUAGCUACAACCCGAAAUAGGAGAGGCAGUCAUCUCCUUGCCAUCAUGGAGAGGAGAGUUGUUUUGAAACCAAUGCUAGGAGAUGGGAUCGAAUGCAGAAUAGCCACCGAAUAAAGGUGACAUGCAACUACCAUACCAAUAAAGACGAGGCGAGCAGAACCAACACCAUGUUCCCUCUAUUUCUCUACUUCCUCUUUCGAUAAGCGACUACCACAACCAUUUCCAACCAUAAUCUCUGCGUGCUUGUCGUCCUCGGCCUAUCAACCACCAAGGCACCAACCUUUCCUUGUUUUCUAUUUUGUCUCCCCUAUUUUGAGUCAUCAUCUUUUCAGUUCCUUCAUUGUUGAGCACCACCGCCACCACCCUUCUUCCUCCAGUUUCUCACUAUCAACGGUCGUUGCAUCUGCAACGGGCUCAUCACUGGACCAGCUCUCCCUAUUCCCCUUUUUCUAACCUCUCCACCACCUCUCAACUCCACUGCUGCCUCUCAAAUCCACCAACAUUCACUUCCACCACCGCCUCUCAACUCUCUCUCUCCCCCUCUCCCUCUCUCAAAUCUAAGCCGGCCUACCCAGCUCAUCAAUGCCUAAGGACUCCAUAUCUCACUUUUCUUGAUUUUUUCCAACCCCGGACCCUGCUUUCCUCCUCCCGUGUUUUGAUUGUCGGCACCUUGAUUCGAUCUCACUGCCGCACCCAUCGAACUUCACCACCUCCACCUCUUCGUGCUUCGUCAUGGCUCUUUGUUCGCUCCUUUCUGUGCCAUUCACAACUCUUUCAGAGCCAACAUCAACCGCGAAAAACCGACCACCCCUCCGCUCUACUUUGUUCUCUCUCUCUCGACAUCCGCCACCCUACCUCUUCCCCGAAUUUUCCUGUUAACUCAAGGUUCUCAUUUGUGGGGUAAUCUUCCACCCUAACCCUAAACAGACCCCACCACUUUGUAAUCAUCUUUCUUAUCAUUUUUCCUAACAUUAGGUGGCCUAGCUUUGAAUAGGGGGACGACUUUCCAAGCAAGAAGACUAGUGUGUAGGGUUUUACACUAAUUACUUGACAUGCAAUCCCCAUGUGUAUGGAUGGAUGUGGGCCACGGGCUAGUCUCAUUAAUAUCAUUGCCCUAUCACAAGCUAGAAUUGUGGCACUAUUAUUGCCCCGUCAUAUGCUAGAAAUACGACACUAUUGUUGCCCUAUCAUGGGUUGGAAACAUGAUCGAGAUUAGCCCAAAGAUGAAUUCAAAUUAAAUUACAUUUGUAAACUGAUGUCUGCUAGAUUGCAUACCUUACAAAAUAAUAUAAAUGGGAAUGACCAAUUUAGUGAAAGUAUGGAGUUAUUAAUUUUACUUGCUUAAUUAUUAUUGUUAUUGUCUCAUGUAAUGAAAGAAAGAUGCAUUCAAGUACUAGUUCUUUUGAAUAUAUAUUUCAUAAUGAUGCUAUCUUUAUCUUAUUGUAACUGCUAUACUUGUUGUUAGACAAUUUCUUUUGUCCAUUAUUUAAUAUAUAUCCAUGUGUGGGGGACAUUCUUACUGAGUCGUUAGCUUAUAUCAUUCCUUUAUUUUUCCUUUCAGAGCCACAAGAUGCUUAGAACUAGGCUAAGUUUGUGGUAAUGAGUAAGAAGUGGAAUAAUUAGAGCAUCUCUGAUACCACUCGAGUGUUUGGAACUUAUAGCUGGAUAAUUAUUUGUUACUAGUGAAAAUAAUUUAGUUUGUUUUAAAAAAAUAAUGAACAUGAUUUAUAUAUUAUUCAAUCUAAUUGAGAUUUUUUAUUGAUUUGAAUGUCUUGCAUAUUCUCUCGGCUAUGCUUACAAAAAUAUGCAGCCAUGUCGUGCCCAGCUUGAGUUUGGGUUAGGGGUGUGACAACAUAUCAAAAUGAUAAACUACACAUGUUACCUGGAAAUGCCGCAUGAAAAAGAGAUUAUGCUAAAUAUUCUUUAGUAUUCUAUUAGUUUGUAGGCCUUUGUACUCCUUUUGACUUCAGUACAUUACAUUAUUUUUUGUUCAAUCCAUUUUUGAUUCCUAGGCUGACUCAAAUGGGCUUAACAAACAGAACUACCAUAUACCAUAUAUGAAAAGCAUUCAGUUUUAUCCAUGCAAUUUGGGUAGCAUAUUCAUCUAAUUGUGUUUAUAUAAUCUUUAACAAUUAAAUGACGAUAUGUUUUCCUGUACCUUAAUGUUUUAUACAAUGAAUUUCAUAGUGCAUAUUUCCAUUUAAUUUCAUUAUGUGUAACAAAAGCAUUUUGUCAGAUUGUAUAUAAAAUGCUUUGACUCCAUUCUGAACUUUUAAAUCCAUAAGCAUAACCAAAAUGAUCAAGCCUAGUCCCAACUGUGUGGUCAGAUUUGUGAAUUCACAGUCGCCAUGUUUACCUAUUUUGGGUUGCCUCUGAUGUUGUUUCAGGAUUCAUGAAUCCUUAUUCUAAUUUUCAAUUAAAAGUACUAUAAAAUUUCAAAUAGUUAGAUAAAAAUAUAUGCAGGCCAGUUAAUAAUUUCUUCUUUAGAGAAAAUUAAUCAACUAUUUUAAAUCAGUUUCACUAAAUCUUGCUGAAACACAAUCAUCAUUAACUGGAUUGUGUGUAUAGCAUGAUUGAUACGGGAACCUUCCUGAGGUCAGGUAAUAUUUCACUUGAUAAGACUAUUUGUAGAAUGAACAGAAAAAAGAAACAUGGAGGGACUAGUUUAUAUAUCUGUAGCUACCAUUUUGGAAAGCUGUGGCAGCGAUCAGUGCCAUCAGUUAACAUUCUAAUGUCUACCAUGUCAUUUAACAUAUCAGAUUACAGUAAAAAAACAGUUUGAGAAAACAAGUUCGAAAAAUUUAGUAAUGAUUGUUAUUUUGCUGAAAUGGCAGUAAAAGAGAAAUUCAAAGGACAAAAACAAAACUAUAAGCUGAGGUUCAUUACAUAAAAUUAUAGAUUAAUACAUACUAUCAACAGAUAUAGCAAAAUAAGUAAUCCAUUUAUAAAAUGAAGAUAAUACCUCAGGUGCCAUCCAUCUGUAUGUCCCAGUUUCUGCAGUCAUAUCUCCCUCUUGACUUUGAAACCGAGCCACACCAAAGUCUGCCACCUUCACAACCUAGGUUAGUAGAAGUAAAACUAUAAAACUCAUCUUGAGUGAAGUUGCAUGAUCCUCAACUAAUAAAUUAAUGAAUUGCAUCAGUAUUACUUAAACAAAGAAUAACCUCAAAUACAAAAAACAAAGAAUAACCUCAAAUAUAAAAUACAUAUAUAUAAAUCCAUGCAAACAAGUACCUCAAUCAUGUGUUUAUUUUUUUCAGUUACAUUAUGAGUUUUAAUAUGAAAGGAAGGAUCUGAGAAGUCUUAAGGACAAAACUUAGCAGAAACACAGGGACAAGGGCCUUGGAACAACACACACAAUGCCUCAAGCAAGAAAAUAAAGCCUCUGGUCACUUCCAAACCGGAUACAGAAAACAGACCUCGGGUCCAUGGUUUUGGAGCAUCUAAAAAUUGCUGGUAGAAACCCCACAUUCUCAGACUAGGACAAAUGGUAUAUCCUCUUAAUAUAAAGGGACAGAAUAAUGCCUUUCCAUUGUUUCCUUGAAAGUUGUUCAAGAAAAGAUAGAUGUUAGUCAACAUUAAGUAAUGAUCGUCAAAGAACACCAAAAUAUCUAGCUUGUACCAGAGUCAUGUAUAGAAAGUUUGGUGAAUUUGCAUCUAAUUUUCAGCUAAAUGAAUUUUACUCACCUAAAAACAAAUUAUGCUGCUACAUCUAAUUCAUAAACAAGUGUUUCUUCUAAGGAAGAAAAGAGAAAAAAACAUGUAGAAUAAAUUACUGGUUCAUUCUAGCAAAAAUUAUUGAAUCUUGAAUUUUACUUUUCUGGUAAAAUUUUUAAAACAUAGCCUCAAUAAAAUCUUAAGUUUGAAAAUACUAGAGAAAAUGUCAUUUCUCUGACCGAGAUUAUGCUGGGUUAGUUUUUGGGAGGUGAGAAAUAUCAAGCUUCUAUCCUUUGCACCACGUCACACCAUCUCCUUCCUUACUGAUUUUAUCCUUGUCAAUGCAACUUUAACAUUUCUUCAAAGAUACUAUAUCCUAAAUCCUAGUUCUCCCAAAUUUUAUUGCAUAUCGACCUCAGCAUUCUUGUCUAAGAUUAAAAUCUCAAAAUGUAGCUUUGACAAGACAUACCAAUCCAAUUACCUCUGGAAUUUUUGGAUGACUCAAGGUACCAUAUCUUCCUUCUGAAAAAAGAAAAAAAUUGCAGAAUUGUAAAAUAGAACGCAAACAAAUAUAUUUCACUAAGCACAUGAACUAGUCCUAUUCCCAAUUUGGAUUGUAUUUCCUAACACAAAAUUUUAUGUGAGAAUACAAACUUUAGCAAGCAAAUUCUUCUGCCGUUAAAAAAGUUAAUACUAGUUAGUGUAAACAAGUUAGUUUACCAGUCAAAUAGUCCAGUUAUGAAAUUCAUUAAUAUAAAGCUUAUGUUUUCUAAGCAGAGAAAAAUUCAUGUAUUAUGACCUUUUCUUUCAUAACAUGUGCUAUUUGAUUGCUGCUUCUUUUUUGUAAUGAACAUAUGCAAAUAUCAUAGCACACAAUCUACUGGAAACCUCCAGGCAUGAAAUACACUAGAACUCUUCCAUUCCCUCCUUAACUUCUCUUAUUCUGAUGGCGAUAAAAAAUACAUACAUUAAAGAAAAAGGUGCAUCUGUUAUGUUUUUGAUUGCAGAAACUAAUACUUGUUAUAAAGUCAGCUUUCUGAAUUUUUUUUCUUUCCAUAUGCAUCUAGCUCCACACAACCAUAAAAGCAUGAUCUUGAAAUACAUAAAAUUUUUAAGACACCAAAGAUGUAAGGAAAUCAUAUAAUCAUAUAUAAUCCAACAUAAUGCAAUAUCAACAGAGGCUACACACAUUGUUGGUAUCCAUCAACAGGUUAGCUGUCUUUAAAUCCCUAUGGAUGAUGUCGUUUUGGUGCAGAUAGCUCAUCCCUCUGGAGAUAUCAAUGGCAAACUUCAGCAAAAGAGAGAGCUCCAAAACAUUAUGAUGCUUGUGCAGGAGGUCAUAGAGAUUUCCUCCAGUCAUGUACUCUGAAAUACAAUUUUAACCAUUAUGUAAACCAUGAGAAUAUAUUCCAAGAUGACAAACACCAGCCAAACAAAAGUGCUAUACAUAUGCUUUCUGCCCAUUAAUGGCAAGAUAAACAAUAUGAAAACGUUCUCAAGAACUGAAACUAACUAUUCAUUAUGAAAUUUAUCAUCUUAAACUUACAAGAGAGAGACAAUAUCCUAAUGCAGUACAAGAUGUUUCCCUUGUCAAUAAUAUACAAAAUUAUGUAUAGAGUAUAAGUAUAAUGGUGAACAGAAACCAUGUAUGAUGUUAAUGAGGCGAAUUCCAAGGAUCAUAAAGAUGAUUCAGCUCAAAUACAAAACCCACUAUACUAGAAAUACUAUAUGAAACUAUAAUGAAGACAACUACUUGCAAAUAAGCCAUUAGAUGAUUAAAUUAUGGGAAACAAGUAAGAAUAAUCAAGGAUGUAGUCAGUUAAAUAACUUGUUCAGUGUAGUUGCAACCAUUUGCAGAUAAUUUUGAAAAAAAAAAUCCAGAUCCAAAACAAAUUGUAACUGAUAUCCAUGAAAACUUCUUUCUUCAGGAUUUGUACAAGAUUUUUCUAUGACAUUAUGGAAUAAGACAGAAGUGUCAUCACCUUGAUCAGCUACAUGCCAUAAUUACUAUAAUUUAAAAAAUCUUUUUUAAAAAACAAUAUUCUCAUAUAAUUGCAGUUAAUUUUGAUCAGGAUCGCUUAACAUGGAUUCAGUAGCAGCGAUUGAACACAUAUCACGGCCCAAACUGUUUUGGUUGUUGUCAUGGGUUAGUGGUUUGGCCGGCCAAGACCUCCAUUUAACAUAUUUUCCUUACACAUUUGUGAUUAGUGAUCUUAAUCCCUAAUCUCACCUUUUCGUUCCCAUAGUGGUCCUCAUGAGCUUCAUUUGGAGAAGGCCUCUAUUUUCCAUACCAGGAGGCACACCAAACAAUCCUCAAUAGUACCCUAGCCAUGCUCCGCCGAACCGGUACCGAAACCCAUAUUGGUCGGCGGGCGGGUUGGUACUGUACCGGUUCAGUACCGUACCGACAUACGGUACGCUUGGGUGUGCCAAUACUAUACCAUACCCACAUACGGUACGCUUGGGCGUGCCAGUUCGGUGUGUCGAUACUAUACCGUACCCACACACGGUACGCUUGGGAACCAGCACGCCCAAUUUUUUUUCAAGUUUUUCAAGUUUAAUUAAUUGGUAAUCAAUCUUUUGCAACUUUUUAAAUGGUUUUAAGUCUAAUUUGAUGGUUUUUUGUUUUUUUUAAUCUUUUUAUAUUUUUUGAUGUUUUUAUGAUUUGAUUUAAUCUAAAUGAUAUAUUUUAUUGUUUUAAAGUGAUACAAAAUAUAAAGACCGGCACGCCCAAUUUUUUUUUUUUCAAGUUUUUCAAGUUUAAUUAAUUGAUAAUCAAUCUUUUGCAGCUUUUUAAAUGGUUUUAAGUCUAAUUUGAUGGUUCUUUGAUUUUUUUUGAAUCUUUUUAUAUUUUUUGAUGUUUCUAUGAUUCGAUUUAAUCUAAAUAAUAUAUUUUAUUUUUUAAAAUGAUACAAAAUAUAAAAUGAUUAGUGAGAUGUUAUAUGCCACAAGAAGCAACAUGAAAUAUCUUAAAAUCAACUAAUGAGAUAAAAAAAUAUAAAAUAUUACUGUCAAUUAAAUAUUUAAAGUACAUCCUACAUAUCGAUAUCUAAAAUUUCGUCGAGUGGCAAUGCCUCUUGUAGAAAUCUAGAUCAUUAGCAUAGCCAGACGGCAUAUCAACCCAUCCUUCUAACCAAGCAGUGUUGUAGUUUUUUAUGUUCAUCCUAUAAAGAACACGCUCUAGAUUAUAAGCACUCUCAGAUCUCUCGCUGAAGUUCUGACUCUGAGAGAUGUCCUCUAUCUGAUAAAACGGUUGUGGAAGGAUCCAUCCGAAUAAACCGGCAGCAAAAUUCGAUCCAUAAGAUACUCUGGACAGCAUAGAAUAGUAGCCACCGGAAGACAAUGCCUCAGACACUAUAUCCAUAAUUGUAUCCGUACGGAACAUAGGUUGCCUAUGACUGUGGGUAAUAGAAUCCAAUAUACGACUCGAAAUCUGAAACAUCUAUGGAUUCUACUCUACGUGCAAGGUCAUCUGUAGCUGCAUCAUGUCCUCCUGAAUGAUCUCAAGAAGUCUAUCAACUAUAUGCAAUCAUAUCCUCGCAGGCUCUACCAAAUCGUGCACCGUGAUCUCUAUUCUGUGUAGCAUGCGUAAACUAGAACUCACCCGUGAAUUGAAGAUAAUCCUAUGACUGUCUCAUAAACGGUGGUCUCAUGUCCUCCACUCGCUAGCCAGCAAAUCCAUGACCACCAAAGCUGCUACUCCUAGUUUUUAAAUCUAAGUGAACAGGCUCCUCCACACUCUCCAUAGGGCCUUUUGAAAUAUAUAUUAUGUGAUACUAAUUUUCAUAAUUUUUUGAAUCCAACAAUGGAUACUACAUAUAUUUUUUUAAACUCGUGGACUUGCCCAGGCCACUAUGCAUAUGAUCGCAUCAAAACUUGAAUAAAUGGACACCAAAUUUUGCUGGAGAGUAGCUUGCAUGCCCCUAAAUACGCCUAUGAUUUUACAAAUUUUUUUGAAUUUUAUUUUUUAUACUUUUAUUUUUAAUCUGAAAAUAUAUUUUUAAUUUUUAAAAAUUAUAUAUAAUUCAAAAAUUAAAAUUUUUUAUGUCAUCAUGUAGAUCAUCCAUAGAUCAACAACAUAUCAUUAAAUCAAGCCAAAAUCAAAAAUUUUGCUGAGAUCUUCUCUUAUUUGGCAAAUUUUGAGCUAUUUUUUGGAGCCCAAAAAAAUAGAAAGAAUGAGAAAGAGGAGACACGCCUUAUUUAGACUUAGAUCUUUCUUCAAUCAUGCUGAAUCGGUGUGAUUUUCACCGCGAAGAAAAGAAAAAAAAGUUUAGAGAACAGAAUAAACAUUGGGAAGGCUCAAGAGUUUCUCGGGCCUUUCCAACAUCUUAUUAUAACAAAGAAGAAAAGGGAAGGAGGCCAGUUCCGAACCAUCCCGACUCAGUGCAAACCGUCCAUGGAACCGGCUGGUUCCGGCAAGUUCGCGACCGGUUCUGAUAGGUUCUGUGAGGCCCAAUGAUCUUACAUCGAAAAGACUCAUUCCAGAGCCUGAGCAUAUGAGGGGGGUAUCUCCAAAUCCUGCAGAUGCAUUUUGGGUGGAAAACAAAACCGGAGAAGGGUCUGAGCAGUGCGUGCGGCGCGCGUGCGAGCCCCGGAACCGGACAAUAUCGGGCAGGGGAGCCCCGUGUUCUCCCCUCAUGUGGCUCCCACAUGGGCACUGGGUGCCGUACGUGCCCCAUGGAGGUAGGGGNNNNNNNNNNNNNNNNNNNNNNNNNNNNAGGACGGCUCUUGUCCGAUGGUGGAAAGAGUGUGAGGCCCAAUAGUCCCGCAUCGGAAAGACUCGUUCCAGAGUCUGGGCAUAUGAGGCGGGUGUCUCCAAAUCCUGCAGACGUAUUUUAGGUGGAAAACAAAACCGGAGAGGUAUCUGAGCGGUGCGUGCGGCGCGCAUGCGGGCCCCGAAACCAGACAAUAUCUGACAGGGAGCCCCAUUUCUCCCCUCAUGUGGCCCCCACGUGGCCACUGGGUGCUGCACGUGCCCUGCGGAGGCGGGGGCGUGACAGGUUCUGUCCAGUUUCGGCCAUUUCUAGCCAAUUCGGGACCAAUCCUGAAUUUAAUAGCCGAACCGAUCCGAUCCCCCACCAAGCCAGCUCAGUACGGGCCGAACCAGAUGGUUCAGUUCGGUUCGGCUGACCAUGACCUUAGCUUUGCCCCAACACCCUUCCCUCCUAUGCUAAGAUUGCCUUUCUACCUCCACUACCCAAAACCCCAGUCUCCCAUUCUCCCUAGCAGCACUGCCUCUUUGACACCAACAACAUCCACUCUGACUUUCUGAUCUUUGAUGCCAAAAUACUGCUCCAUUGUUGUUAAAAGCCCCAUCAUUAAUAGAUCCAAGCCCAUUCCCCCUCCACCACCAUAUCCUACAUCUGGUUCCUUCGGGAUUGUAGGGGGGUGAUGGGGAUUUAUGGUUUGAGAGAUUGAGCUUUAGGUGAAUGUGGCUUUAUUUUAUUUUAUUUUGCAACGUAUAAAGUUUGAUCUUUCAAAAACUUGAACCCAGACUGUGAGGGGGAUAAUAGCGAUUUAGGGUUUGAGAGUGAUUGGGCUUCAAGGGGAUUGCAAUUUUAUUUCAUUUUACAUGGUACAUAUUAAAAUUUGAUCUUUCAAAAAUGUUGAACUAGGGUCUUUAACUACUCAAGUGGUCAAAGCAUCAGGCUAAACAAUUAAAAAAAAAUCAAACCUACGUCUAGAAACUAGACUCGGCAGUUGGCAACUACGACAAGACAAUCUAUUCAACCUGAGCAGGUUUUAAAAUACUAUUUGAUACUUGAGAAGGCUCAACAGACAAAUUUAACACUCUACAUCCAAGGUCUGUCAAACUAGUAUCGGAGCUUGCAUUGGUCAGAAACAAGUUUGGUCUGAUAUGGGUCCUUGUUGUACUAUGCCAGAGCAUACCAAAACAAAGAGAGGCGAAGAGGGAGGACAAGGAGGGACAGAGGGGGAAGAGAGAGAGAGGAGGGAGGGAGAGGGAGAGGAGAGAUUGGAAGGAGAGAGAGAGGGGGGGAGAGAGAGAGGUGAGGCCGAGGCGUNNNNNNNNNNNNNNNNNNNNGAGAGGAGAGAGGAGGAGAGAGAGAGGAGGAGGAGGAGGAGGAGGAGAGAGUAGAGGAGAGAGAGAGGNGGGGGAGGAGAGAGAGGUUGAGGCCGAGGCGUCCGACGACAGCUUCAUGAGGGGAUAGAGGUUGGAGGGAGAGGGAGUGACGGGAAGUGAGGGCUUUGCAAGGGCUCGAAGUAGUUUCGAGCCAUCCGGAUUCGGUGAUAGGGACCGCGAGAGAGACAGCGCUUACCUUGAGUGAUCGUCCGACAGAGAGAGAGCGGAUGAUCCGAGCAUCUAGCAAAGAGAGCAGGAUGGAGUCGUCGAAGGCUCUCGAAGCUCUAGUUCAAACCGAGAGGGAAGGAGAGAGAUUUUAUAACUCAAACCAACCCGCACGACUAAACUGUUCCAGGCUAACAUCGAUUCAGGCCGAACCGCUUGGUUCAGGUUGCUUCAACAUUCUUUGUUGUAAUCUUACUCCAACAAGUGCCAUCACAGCUCAAUUGGAUUUCAAAAAUAUGAAGUGUCCGCUCUAGUCAAAAAUGAAUCAAGAGGAUAGAUUGUUUGCUUAAACUGUGUGAAUUAUUAUUAUCUCCACCCUAAUAGGUUCUCUUUUCUAAUGUUUGUUGACUAGUGUAUUCGUCUGUGAUGAUUAAGUAGUUAUGAGAACCCACGUAGGCAUGUGUUAAGUCUCACAUCAACUAUGUACAGGGUAGAUCUUGGAUACUUAUACAGGGCCAAAUAACCCAAAUAAUACCUUCCAGCUAAUCUUUUUGGAUGAGAUCCUGGAUUGUGAUAAAUGGUAUUAGAGUGGAUCCAACCCAUAGCCCAUGUGUACUGGGGGCACUGCAGCAUAGGCCCCUUGGGUUGACCACGGACUGAUCAUGAUGGUUGUGAUUGGAAUUAUGGUACUUAUGUUUGGAUUUGAAUGAAUUUAGACCCUUAACCUAAAGAGAAUGUCAGGACUUAAACAGGAGGAGCACAUGAGGCCUUGUGUGGGCCCGUGUUUAGUCUCAUAUUGGCUAUACACUAGGUAGAUCUUAGGUAUCUAUAUAGAGCCAAGUAACCCAAAAAACAACUUCCAGCUAGCCAUUUUGGAUGAGAUCUUGGGUUGUAACAAUAGUAGUUUAGUCGUUACCUAGUUGUAGUACCAGAAAGGACAUGUUUGUGUCCUAUAAUCUUUUCUUCUUUGUAAACCAAAACAGCAUGAGAUAAACCAUAUGAAAAACUAGCUGCAUUUUUAGUCUGAUCCUUCUAUUUUAAGGUUCAAGCAGAAUAGAAAAAUCAUCAGGUCUUAUAAUAUUCCACAGCUAAUUAAGUCACAUUCAGACCAUAGACGUAUUUAGUUCUGUUAAGCAGAUAUACCUUGUUGACCCUUUUCCAAUCAUCCUAAGCUUUUUCGUUUAAUUGGUUAGUUAACACAGUAUCAGAGCUCAGACUUGCUAUACAUCAGGAGUUUGAAUUCCCUCCACAGUUCAAUUAUUGAUCAAAUUAUCUUCGGUUAUCUGUUAUCCUGAUUUAGUUAUGUCUUGGCUGUGUUAUCCUUACACGUGCAUGAUCCCAGUCGCACAGGAGGAAGCUGCAUAUACAUUGUUGACCCUUUCACUAUCUGUUUAAGCUUUUUGAGUCAACUGACUGGUUAACAAAUUCUAGUUAAUUCAAACUGAAAUGGAGGAUCUGGUCUGGUUUCUUACAGAUUGCCUCCAUGACCUACUUGUACUUGAUUAUUGUAAAAAUCAUCGCCAAUAUUAAUUUAAAAAUUCAUAUGAAGGCAAUGGUUUAUUAAAAUUAGUGCAAACAAAUAAAAUGGAUGAAGAAACACAAGAAAAUUACAUAGUGGUACAUAGAGCAGCGCAAUAUUAAAAAAUAUAGAGGGGUCUAUAGGGGAGAAAAAAACCCAAUAGGUGCAAAUAAUUCGGGUAUUCCACAAAAGAUCACUACCAACCUCAUAACGGUUCUAAUGACAGCGUUUCCUUGUAAAAAUAAAGAAAUAUCUAAUAUAUUUUGACAAUUUAUAUUAAAUAUAAUAUCCACCAUUACAACAUGUACAAUAAAUGCAGGUCAUUAGUCUAACUCGUUACUCAUAAGACAAAAUACCCUGAUGUAAAUCCUCAUAUACACAUCUUGGAGUUAUUGUAUCAUCCACCAGGCAGCACAUGCCAAAAACAUGUUUAUUUUAUGGAAGAUGUCAGUCAUAUCAGGGUUGCAACCUCAGCCAAACAUCAAAUCAGAUAUUCAAUUAUAUAAUAUUCUAGUAAUAAUAACAGGAAUUCAUUAAGGGUCUGUUUGGUUAAUACUAUGCGAUCCAACAGGAUUCAUGAGAACACAGACCAGGCUAGGCCUAUAUUCACAGAAUUCACAGGAAUUUUUUCAGAGUGGGCCAAUUCGAAUGCCAUAGGGAGAAAAAAAGGACCUCAACAGGUCUUCUUUUCCAUCUUGCAGAAAUGGACUAAGAGAGGUCCAGUUGACAUGGAUAGAGCCAGCCAGCCAGGCCUCUUAUUCUAUAAUACUAAAAAUCCUGUUUCCAAUGCUGAGAAUUCAAUAGGAUUAUCCAGUAUGCCCUGAAUAAUACGUUACUAGGAUUAUUUUAUUCUUAUUAAGUAUAAAGAAAAAUUACUAUGAAGAUUAGAUGUUCAUAAAUUAACAAAUGUUUAAGAUGUCAAAAAAUAUAUUCCUGUGUUAAUUUAUAUAGUUAAAACCAAGAUCCGCCAUACCGCUACCGGUCGGCGUAACGGUGGCGGCCCGGACCGGUCCGUACCAGUCCCAUACCGUUUCUCCAACGAUAAGCUAUUGGUACCGGAUUCCACGCUGAUCUGGUACCAGUCCGAGGCCGGACCGGUAUGUACCGGCCGGUAUGGACCGGUACGGCAGACCAUGGACUUAAAACAGUAAUUUAAUCUUUUUUGAUCUAAAUGUACCCAUAAAAAAAUAACCCCAUAAACAGAAAAUGUUUUAGCUUAUGAGGCAUGGACACAUACACAGGAUAAGAACUGCAAAAAAAUUUUAAAAACAAAAAGAUGACACAUACAAAUGAUAACAAUAUAUUUUAUGCAUGUAGAAAAGCAUCUAAAAAGAACAAUGGUUUAUCACAGUAGCAUACUCUAUAUUCCACAAUAACAUCAUCAUCUGUGCAACUACAUGAAUAUCACAUUUUAAAAUGAACCAUCAGUGAUUGCCAUCCUAAAAGGUUAGCAUUCAUCAUGCGAAAAAAUGAAACGCUUCUCCCUCAUCCCCAAAUUAACCAGGAACCAUCCAUACAUAUCCAAUAAGCACAUUCUAUUUUUUACAUAUAUUUUAAAGGACACUUAGGUAUCGGUUACAGAAAUAGAAUGCAAUUUGAAUUUUGAAGUACCCAUAUAUCCUAGAUUUUAGAAUAAAAUUGCUAUUCAUCAUGGCAUAUUCUUUCUUCUAAGAGAAAGUGGACUGUAAAAAUAAACUUUCUACAAGCAUGGAUGCAAGAUAGAGUAGUUUCUUUUUAAACCAACAAUAGAACAAGGAAAUCAAUGCCAGUAAAAGAUUACCUGUUACUAUGCAUAAUUGUGGACGUUUUGUGCAUGCACCAAUAAAGCGAACGACAUUCCUAUGAUAGACUUCCCUGAAAUGACAGGAAAAGGAAAAAAGAAAACCAGAAUUAUAAACAACAAAGUUAUCUGUGUCAUUGUCGACUUUUUUUAACAAGUAGACGAAUUAAUUAGCCUCUAAAAUAGUAAAAAGGUUACAAGAUAUGAUCAAAGGUUACAUAGGCAAUACUAUGUAAAUGUACCUUAAAAUCAUUACUUCUUGAGCAAAUUCUACCCCCAGAGCUUCAUUUAAAUGCUCCGAUCUAAGAACUUUUAUAGCAACAUCCUGACCGAGAUAAGUCCCUCGAUACCUGUACAUAAACAUCAGAAUGAGGUGGACCACAACGUUCAACUUCUGACAAAUACAUAAAAGAAGAAUUGCUAACAGAAGCAGCAGUCUAUGUCACAAUUCCCAACUCACAAAUCUCCACAAGAUCCACAUGCAAUCCUGUCUCCCAUCUUCAACAAUCUUUUGUCAAUUUCCCAAUCAGAACCAUUUGAUUGCACCGUAAGUAUUUUCUCCGCGGCUGAAGAAUGAGAGGAGCCAGACCACGACCCCUACAUGUUCGAAGGGAGAAAAAGGAGAUUGCAGAAUAGAUCAUAUGUUAAUCAUAAAUAAACAACAGCAACAAAGAAACCCAUGCAGAUGCAAGUCCUGAUAAAUACUAUCUGCUUCCACAUGUUUCAAUGGGGGGGGACAAGAAGUUUUUUUCGAGUCAUGUAUUGGCUAUGAAGCAGCAAGACGUUGGAUGUAUAAUUGCAAAAGUGUGGUAAAGGGAUAAACUUAUCUAAAUUAUCUGAAAAGAGGAGCAAGAAAAUUAUAGACAAAAAAGAGUUAGUCAUUCAGAUUUAUUUAUCAGAAAAAAUAUACCUCAUUUCUUGCAACUGUCUUCUUGAGUUGCUUGAGCAAACCAUCUGUUGCCUGAGCAUACCAUCGUAAAGUUAGCAAGACUUGGGCCUUGGAAAAGAUCCCUACCAUAAAAGAAAACAGAAUUGCAAUGCCCUUACUAGUUUGCAAGGGCCCAUACAGUGAUAGUAUUAAAGGUUGACAAAUUUAUCAUCCAGUUCAUGGUUCAUGGGCAUAAGCCCAUAAAACAAUGUAUUAAAAUAAGGCAGCAAAGUGGAAAAAAAUAAACAGAAGAAUGCAGAGAUCCAUGUCAGUGUAAGCAAUCACUGUGACCUAUAAAUUGAAUUCCUGCCUGAAGAGAAAUGCACGACUUCUAUUGUUUCCACACGUGCAGAAGGAAGUUCCAUUCUAUUGAAUGCCUUGGAUGUAGAAGAGUGUAUAGAAAUGAAAGAGCUUUUCAUAUGACCACCAGCUCUAGACAUUUCUGAUUCAUCACUUGAUAGAGAAACAAAACAACAAUGCUUCCUAAAUGCAACAUAUGCUCUAGAAAAACCAUUGAAUAGGAGAGUGAUAAGAAGAGCAGAAAAGAAAAUAGGGAACCUUUUGCUAUACCCUCCUUUUAUGUAACUUGUGGUUUACUGAUCCCUUCUCGGGUAUUUAUGUAUCUUUCACAAUAAAGGCAUGCUUCGUACUAAAAAGGCCAGAAGGAUAAUUUGACAUGGACAAUGAAAAAGGCACAUUGGAUGACACAUAGAGAUUUAUAUAAAAAUCAGCUGAUUUUGGCACUUGUCAAAUUUCAUGAUCCUCUAAAAUAAUUAAUGUUCAGAAUCCUGGUUCUGGUUUGGACUUGACCAAGCCAAAAGAAUUUUAGUUUCAACAGUUUUGGCGGCCCAAGCCAAGGAAUGCUGAAUCUUGCCAAUCUGGCCAAUUCGGGGAAUACUGUGUCCAGUCGGUAACCAUCACAGUUUGCACUAUAAAUUCGAGAUUGGCACUGGUUCAAGGAUUAGGGCUUUGUUUCUUCCUUUCCUCUCCCAUUUGCUCAUGCUCUUGCUGCCCUCACCCAUCUCAACGAUCGACGACUGUCCAAGUAUGCUGACCGCCUCCCUCCCUCUCUCUCUCUAACCCUUGCUUUAAGGGAACUCGAUUACCUUGAGAGGCGGAGCAUCAUAGCCAUCGAUAGGACACUGGCCAAAAACACCAUGGCUUUGAUAAAGAAGACCCACGUGCUGCUACUCGAGCUCUGGUAACCCAUCAUCGCCAUCCAUUACAACCUAUGAGAGAUUACAAUUGUUACAUUCCUCCCUCCCUCCCUCUUCCCCCUCUCUCUCUUCUCUCUCUAUAAACCCCUCCCUCUUCACCAUGCAGUCUCCUUGACACGUCUUCAUUCCAAACCGAUCCCCACCUCCCUCUUUUUUCUUUAUUUUUGAAUUUUGAAUUGAAGUCAGCAACCAUAUCCCGACUUCAAUUCAAAUUUUAAAAAUAAAGAAAGGUCCAAAACAAACUAGAACCACAUAGGACCUGUACCAUACAAUACCAUACCAUCGAGCAACCAGUAUAGGUCAUGAAACUAGUACAAAGUACCUUGGUAACAAGCUUAUUUUUUAGAGUAUUCACCAAAAAAUAGAAGGGUAGAAAAGUUGAAAUAAAUUCAGACAAAUAGACAAAAAUAAAAACAAGUCAAGAAGAGAGAUUAGAUAUCAUUUUAGGGUAUAGUAUAAUCUUUGAAAGCUUAGAUAUAUUAUGCAUAGUUUAGGAAGAAAGAAUCCAUUUAAGAAUUAUUAAAAUAAGUUAAUAAAUAAAAACUAAAUAAAUAUUUAAUAAGGAAUAAUGGAGGAUAAAAAGAAUAGACUAGACAACAUCUUUGUUAUUAAUUUAUUUUGUAGAAUUGUUGUACACUAAAAUUACUCAUGUAUGCCAAAAUGACAAUUCUUUUAAUUAUGACAAAUGCAUGUAUCUUCAUUUAUGAGUUUAAGUCACUUGUCACAACAAGUGGAAUUGAAUAGCUGGACCAACUUAGAAACUUAAUACAAGAAAUCAUUUAGAAAUGUCUUUGUUUCCGCUGAAUUCCUGCAACCCAAUGUUUAAAACUUUAAAUGCUUUCAAAUCAACUAUAUACCCACAAAAUUAAAGUUAGGCUGCAAGAAACGACUCCCAGAUUCUGAGUUUGGUACCAAUGAACAAGCCAAUGCAUGGUCUGUCGUACCGGCCGGUACGGGCCGGUGCGUACCGGUCCGGCCUGGGACCGGUACCAGAUCAGCGUGGAAUCCGGUACCGGUAGUUUAUUGUUGGAGAACCGGUUCGGACCGGUAUGGAACCGGUUCGGACCGGUACGGGACCGAUUCGUACCGGUACGGAACCGGUACGGGACCAGUUCGGACCGGUACGGGACCGAUUCGUACCGGUACGGAACCGGUACAUGACCAGUUCGGACCGGUACGUGACCAGUUCGGACCGGUACGGACCGGUACGGGACCGAUUCGUACCGGUACGGCGGACCUUGAGCCAAUGCCAUAGAAAUUGAGGCAAAAAUUACCUAAUGAAAGUUUUUAAUACAUGCAUAAACUUGUUGCAUCUAGAGCUACUGAAUUUCAAUUGAAAACACUCAAACUGGUCAAUUUUGGUCAAAAGACUCAAAACUAAGUUAAACUCAAAUAAUCUAAGAUUAGUUUUGACUGAAUUCGAUCUGUUUGAGCUAAAUGUAUUAAUUUUGGCCAAAACAUUGAACACUCAGAGUAGUGCCACAGCAAUAGUCCUAAACCAACUCUGGAUAAAAAACAAGGAUUUAUAUUGAGAAUGAAUUUGCAUAUCGGCCUCUAAGGAUCUCAAAUAUCACUCUCAAGGUAGUAAUAGCCAUCUCUAAUAGCCAUGCCCUAGAAAAUGCGGGCAUGAUCCUAUUGUUGAAAAUACUAUCACCCAAGGUUGGAAGAAUCGGUACCGACACUGCUAGCCGGUGAUCGGUACGGUAAGACACCGGCCCCUACCAUACCAAACCGUGGCAUACCAGAACUAUGAGGGAGAGGGAAGGGCUAAAGAGGAAGAAUGAGAGGGAGAGGGAGAGGAAGGAGAGAGAGGGAGAGAGAGGAGUGAGGGGAGGGGGGGUGCUCACCUGGGCCAGAUCUAGUUUAUCACCAAGAUCUUCCUUCAGAUGAUGACGAGGGAGAUGCCACAAUGAUGACAAGGUCAGGGACCAAAUCCAAGAUUGAACAACAACAAGGGAGAGAGGCACAACAACAACAACGAGGCUAGUCCCUCACCUCCACGACGAAGGCCUUCAUCCCUGUCAGAGAAAGAGAGCAGCCAUGGAUCCACAAAGGUAGGCUGAUUGCAAGCGGGAUGUGAUAGAGGAGGGAUCACGAGGUGGAGAGAGUGGAGAGAGCUUGGGGUUAAGGUUUGGAAACAUGGAGGGAUGAAGUGAAGUGAAUCAAAGAACGGGAAGGGUGGUGCUUAUAUUUUCCGAACCAAAGCCUUGCUAAAAUGAGUAAGCAAUCUUGGGUCAAUGCUAUAUUCACUAUGAUUCGUGCAUAUAUAAUAUUCUUGUUCUCCCAAAAAUAUCCACUGAUAUCCUCACGGAGCAAUUUAAUACUCAUUUACCUUGUUAUUAGUACCUUCUGUUAGAUUACAAAUCUGCAGACAGAGAACCUUCCUAGAAAGCAGAUAAGGGGUUCACCCUUUGCCCCUUAUGCCCUNNNNNNNNNNNNNNNNNNNNNNNNNNNNNNNNNNNNNNNNNNNNNNNNNNNNNNNNNNNNNNNNNNNNNNNNNNNNNNNNNNNNNNNNNNNNNNNNNNNNNNNNNNNNNNNNNNNNNNNNNNNNNNNNNNNNNNNNNNNNNNNNNNNNNNNNNNNNNNNNNNNNNNNNNNNNNNNNNNNNNNNNNNNNNNNNNNNNNNNNNNNNNNNNNNNNNNNNNNNNNNNNNNNNNNNNNNNNNNNNNNNNNNNNNNNNNNNNNNNNNNNNNNNNNNNNNNNNNNNNNNNNNNNNNNNNNNNNNNNNNNNNNNNNNNNNNNNNNNNNNNNNNNNNNNNNNNNNNNNNNNNNNNNNACAACCACUAUUCUUCGAGUAGGAAAGGUAAGAGUAGAAUUAAAUUUAAACUUUGUUUGUCGGUUCUAACAACGAUCUGUCUAGCAUAUUUUUAGGUAGACAGAAAAGGGACGAACACCUGCCUUCAAGGAAAGAUGGCCAAAUUACCCUUUGUAGGACAUGGGGAGAGGUCCACUAAAAUACUUACCCUAGUACACACUUACGUGUGUGGCCCAUUCGUUGUGCAGGCUAAGGGUUGUAAUUUUUACUUCAUUUAUCGAUGAUUACUCACGGUAUAGAUAUGUGUAUGAGACACAAAUAUGAAGCUUUUGAAAAGUUCAAAGAGUUCAAAUAUAAAGUAGAAAAACAAACAGAAAACCUUAUUAAGGUUCUUCGAUCGGAUCGAGGAGGUAAACACCUUAAUGGAGAGUUCCGUGAUUAUCUCAAGAAGAAUGGUAUAGUUUCACAAUGGACCCCUCCUGGUAUACCUUAGUUCAACAGGGUGUCUGAGAGAAGGAAUCAAACCCUAUUGUAUAUGGUCAGGUCCAUGAUGAGCUUCACUAAUUUAUCUUUGUUUCUUUAGAGAGAUGCCCUAUUCUCAGCUAUUUAUUUAUUGAAUAGAGUUUCCUCUAAAUCUGUUCCUACCACACCGUAUGAGAUAUGAUAUGGUAAGAAGCCGAGUCUUAGUUAUCUCAAGAUUUGGGGAUGUCCGGCCCACGUCAAGUGACAACAGGCGGACAAGUUAGAGGAUAGGAUAAUCAAUACUCGUUUUAUUACAUAUCCUAAAGAGUCAUUAGGAUACCAUUUUUCCAUCCCAAAGGAUCACAAAGUAUUUGUGAGCCGACAUGCUAUCUACAUUGAAAAAUAGUUUAUCCUUGAUAGAGACAGUGGGAGGAAAAUUGAACUCGAAGAGAAAGUCUCUGAAGAGCAACGAGUCAUUGUGCCUAUAGAACCUAUUCGUAUUGAGCCAGUACAUUUGUAUCUCCUCCACCUCGUAAGUCUAGUAGGAUCUCCCGUCCGCCUGAAAGGUACUUAGGUAUGAUUACAGAGGAUGUAGAGGAAGUGUUCCUCAUGGGAGAUAGGGAUCAAGGUAAGGAUUCCAAUACCUACAACGAGGCGAUGUUAGACAUCGAUUCUGAGAGAUGGCUGGAAGCGAUGAAGUCAGAGAUGGACUCCAUGCAUUCCAACUAAGUCUGGACCUUAGUAGAUCCAUCAAAAGGUAUAGUACCUAUUGGUUGUAACUAGAUUUACAAAAGGACAAAAGGUUCGGAUGGCAAGGUAGAGACCGAUAAGGCAAGGCUAGUGGCGAAAGGUUAUAAUCAGCGCGAAGGCACUAAUUAUCAGAAUACCUUUUCACCUAUAGCCAUGCUGAAGUCCAUUCGAAUAAUGCUAGCCAUUGCAGCAUUUCAUGAUUAUGAAAUCUGACAGAUGGAUGUGAAAACUGCUUUCCUAAAUAGAUAUCUUGAUGAAGAUAUCUAUAUGGAGUAGCCUUUGGGUUUCACUUCCAGUGAUGGAGAUCACAAGGUCUGCAAGUUGCAAAGGUCCAUCUAUAGACUAAAGCAAGCAUCUCAGAGUUGGAACACUCGUUUCAACGAUGUAAUCAAAUCGUUUAAUUUCAUCAAGAACGAAGAGAAACCAUAUGUUUAUAAAAAAGUUAGUGGGAGGGCUAUUGUAUUCCUCGUAUUGUACGUGGAUGAUAUCCUUCCAAUUGGGAAUGAUGUUCCCAUACUAACUUAGGUCAAGGUAUGGUUGUCUAAGGAAUUCUUCAUGAAAGUCCUUGGAAAAGCAUCCUAUAUUUUGGAAAUUAAGGUCUAUAGAGAUAGAUCUAAAAGGAUGCUUGUCCUGUCACAGAAUACGUACAUAGAGGAAGUGCUAAAGAGGUUCAGCAUGGAAGCCUCUAAAAGGAGAUUAUUACCCCUUAGGCAUGAAAUAAAUCUCUUCAAGAAGAUGUGCCCCAACACAUCUGAAGAGAUUUGAUGGAUGAGCAAGAUCCCUUAUGCUUCGGUUAUAGGGAGCCUCAUGUAUACCAUGCUAUGUAUACGACCUGAUAUAGCACAUGCUGUGAGUGUCACGAGCAUAUAUCAGUCAAAUCCAGGCAAGGAGUACUAGAUAGCUGUGAAGAACAGUCUUAAGUACUUGAGAAGAACUAAGGACAUGUUCUUGGUCUUUAGGGGAAGAUCAGAGUUAAAGGUAGAAGGAUACACACAUAUUGAUGAUAGAAAGUCUACAUCAGAAUAUGUGCAAUGAUGUUUCAGUAAAUUUGAAAAGUUCCAAACAACUGACCAUUAUAGAUUCUACCUUGGAAGCUGAAUGUAUUGCCGCCUCUAAGGGUGCAGUGGAAACCUUCUGGUUCAAGAUGUUUAUUGCAAAGUUAGGUGUAAUGUCAUUAGAUGCCAUAACACUCUACUGCAAUAACAAUGGCACCAUAAGGAGCCAAGGUCUCACUAGAAGUUUAAGCACGUAGAGCGAAGGUUUAACCUGAUACGCGACUACCUCGAAAAGAUAUGAGUAGAGAAACAAAGAGUAGACUCCACAGGCAACGUGGUAGACCCAUUCACUAAGCAGCUAAGUCAGCAGAAAAUUGAAGCACAUCUUGAGAAGAUGGGGCAUAGAUUUAUGGCUGAUUGGCUUUAGUGCAAUUGGUAGAUUGUUAAAAGUAUGCCCUAGAAGCCAAUUUGGCUGACACAUUAUUUUGUUCUGGGACAUAAAUUUGUACUUGACCUAAUUAUAAAUUUAUUAAGUUUGGCAUUCUUAUCAUUCAUGUUCUUAUGUGUCCAUGAAUCACCCAAAGAAUUAAUAAGAUGAUGACGUAUAUUCUCAAGAGUUGAGAAUUUGAGGCAUGUGUCAUUAGUGAUUAAUUCCUGAAUUGCUUCUGAUCGAUGGAUCGUCACGAGGACGGUGAUCGAUCCGCUGAGAUUAGUGCACAGAUUGCUUUCUUUGAUGGACGAGUCUUGAGUCCACUAUGUGGCGACAUUGGAGCAAUUGUGCAAGUGCUUGUUAGAGAACAAGGGUACUGAGCGUGACCAUAGCAAGUAGUCACUUGGAUGUCUAUCCACUCAUCAAUGACAUACUUGAUGCUGCAGUUGUAUGACUGGUCCUUUGACCUGUGAUGCCUCGGCUAUUCACAAUGAAGUUGCUGUAGUUUGACGAGCACAUAAACAUGGGCCCUAUCCAUUUGGGUCCCUAUGGUGCAGAUUGGCUGCAGUAGGUUCAUUGUAUGAGUAUGGAUGCAUCUAGAUGGAAUCUGUGGAGUGAUUGAUUAAAAAUCUAUUUGAUUUUGAUGAGCUCAAAGCAUUUGAGUAUAUCUUAUGUUAUACUAAUAAAUUCAAUCUAGUAUUUCAGGCAUAUAUUUGUAUAUUUUCAAUUAAGUGCCUCAAGCUUUGGUUCAAAAUAAGUUGGACAAGUAUUGAACCCUAUUUGAACCAAGGGCUGAUUCUCGAGUCGACUCCGGAAGAUUAUGAGUCGACUCCAAAUGGUUCAGAGUUUCUGGCACCAGCUCGAGUCGACUCCGAUACUCUACGAGUCGACUUCGACUGAGAACAGAAAGAAAGACAGAAAGAUGGUUUUCAGACCCUGUCAGCGAGUCAACUCUGGAAGGCUUCGAGUCGACUCCGAUGCUUGACAAAUCGACUCUCUACAGAUCCGAGUCGACUCCAAGGAGUAACAGACAGAAAGACAGAGAGGUGUUUUCUAGAUCUUGUUAUCGAGUCGACUCUAGAAGGAUGCGAGUCAACUCCAACGUUUGGCGAGUCGACUCCUAAUCAUGCCAGAGUCGACUCUCAGAGGAAAGCGGACUGAAAGGCAGAGAACCAAACUCAGUGACCCUGUGAACAAGUCGACUCCGAGAAUUCCAGAGUCGACCCCAAGUCAGCCGAGUCGACCCCAACAAAGUGCGAGUCGACUCCGAGGCAGCUCAGAUCAACAGACAGUGGAUCGGUUUUUCGGGCUCUGAGAGUCGAGUCGAUUCCAAGAGAAUUCGAGUCGACUCGAGAGAGAAAUGCAGAAAAAUAGAUCUCUGGAAUCCUGAGAACGAGCCGUCUCCAAAAUGCCGAGUCAUCUCCAGAUCUUGGCGAGUCGACUCCAGGAUUGGACCGAGUCGACUCCAGAUCGGGACAGCACUUUAAUUCAAAUCUUGAACAGUGGCGAGUCAUCUCCAGUAAAGCAUGAGUCGACUCCAGCAACAGUCGAGUCGACUCCAGAUCGAACGAGUCGACUCCGACCCAACGGAUACAUUGUNNNNNNNNNNNNNNNNNNNNCCGAGUCAUCUCCAGAUCUUGGCGAGUCGACUCCAGGAUUGGACCGAGUCGACUCCAGAUCGGGACAGCACUUUAAUUCAAAUCUUGAACAGUGGCGAGUCAUCUCCAGUAAAGCAUGAGUCGACUCCAGCAACAGUCGAGUCGACUCCAGAUCGAACGAGUCGACUCCGACCCCAACGGAUACAUUGUCAGGAGGUGCAGACUGUGCAGAACGGCUACAAAUCAGUGUCAACGGCUAUUUUUCAAAAGGGACUAUUUAAAUAGCCAGAGUAAACAAUAGUAGACAACAAGAGAGUUACUCCAUCUGUGCAUUAAGGCAUUUCCAACUACCAAGAGUCCAUUGAGAGAAAAGACAAGCAAAAGAAGAAAGAAACGCAUUCAAUUCAUUCCUAGAAGUUUUUCCUUCGCAUUCAAGGCUCUUCUUCUGACAUCAAAUCUUCAGUGCACUCAAAGAGGAGACCCAGAGUUCGAGAAGCCCUUUCUUCCUCUUUCAAAAUCUGUUUGAGGGCUUCUAACUUUACUCUAUUCAUAUUGAUUCAUAUUUGCUUUUAUUGAAGCUUUCCUUGUAUCUUUUUUCAAACUAUUUUUCUUACUUGAUUCAAUCAGAGGAUUGAAUCAAGGGUUGUAAGGUUUGUUGGUGAGCCAAAGGAAAAACCAACGGUGUAAGGGUUUGAUUGUAAUCCCGGGAAAACAAUCGGGUGGUUCUAGUCGGUGAGCCUGUGAAAACCGACCGAGUUCGUUGUGAUCUUGCGAAAACAACAAGUUGGGUUGUGAUCUGGUAAAACAACCGGCUGUAAUCCAAGGGAUUAUAGUGAACUCCCAAGUGAAGCUUGGGGAGUGGACAUAGGAGCAAAGGUUGGCUCCGAACCACUAUAAAAUUUCCUUGUGUUUGCAUUGGCUAUAUGUCUCUUCCAAUCUCCUCAUCAAGUAGCUUAAUUAACCUGCUUGCAUUAGAUUUAAUUAUUUACUAAUCAAGUUUUAAUUUGUCAAUAAUUAAUCCAAACCCAAUCACCCCCCCUCUUGGGUUGUCUCCUUGGGCAACAAGUGGUAUCAGAGCAGGUUCUCUCAUAUCGAUUGGUGUUCCAAUCUUUAAAUAGAGUCAAAAGAUCAAAAUGACAACCCGUUUUGGAUCUUUCUAUAGUGAGGGGCAAUCUACUCAUAGGCCUCCAUUGUUUAAUGGAACUAAUUAUACCUAUUGGAAGGCUAGAAUGAGAAUAUUCAUCCAAGCCCAAGAUUAUAAUCUUUGGAACAUCAUAAUCAAUGGACCACAUAUUCCUUCCAUCUAUGUUGAUGAUGAUGAGAGCACAAAAGUGCAAUCGUCAGGCCAUUCUAAUUAGUAUUUUAGCUAAUCAUUUAAAAUAAAAUUAACUAACUAAUGUUUUAUUUGUGCAAGCAUCCCACAUUCCAUGUGCAGGUUCAACCGAGCCCAACUGCAUCUGACUUGUCUUAAUUCCCACGGGCAUCACCCUGAUGGAGUCGAGUCACUACCGGCUGCCACCCACCGUUGUCUCAGCCCAACUUUGAUUCCAGCUCCCAAUCGCGCGCAUCUUGAUUCUGCGUGCUAGCUCCCGUUAGAUCCCCAGCAUCACGCAUCCAUUUUCCUCUCCCAUCUUCAACGCCUCAGCCCGCCAGCCAGCCACACCUUCCGCUCCUUCCCAGCAACCAAAGAAGGAAGUCCUUCCCCGUGCCAGCCACCGUGCCAGCAAUGCCCGGAAUCCCAUCAUCCCGAAAUCCCAGCACCCGAAGAAGGAAGCCCCAGCCGUGAUCCAAUCUCCGGCGAUCCCACACCGCGUUCCCACCUUCCGUUUCAGCUCCUAGCAUCUUUCCUCUUCCGCUUCCAAUCCCGACGAUCCCCCACCGCGUCUUCAUCGCAUCUCCUUCCGUUUGUGAUCAAGGAACUGCAUCUCACCGCUUCCCGAAUCAGCAUCCACUGCAUCUGUGGUCAAUCUCCUCCACGGAUCACGCCAAGAUCGCUCCUCCUCCACCUCGCAGCCGUCCAUCUCACCGCAUCCAGCUCCUCCCAGCAGCCGUCCACGAAGCUUCCGCCCGUGAUCAGCGAUCCAGCCUGCUCCCAGCGCCCGGAUCUCGUCCGUGAUCGACUCCUCCCCGCGUCCUCACUGCGUCUGCCAUCUCCCUUCUGCAUCAGGAGUCCGUCCACGGCUAUAAGAGGAGAAGGAGGAAGAGGGAAGGUGGGUGUGCUCGGUUGGGGGUUGAGGCCAAGAACUAGAGAAGGAGGAAGAGCUCGGUUGGGCCAAAGCUCUCGGCUGAAGGGGGGUGGCCGGCUGGUCCAAGGGAGAAGAAGAAACAAGGGAACGGAACCUUCUGUUUGUGAGAGAAGAAAGAGGGGAAGAGUAAUGCUCUGUUUUCAGAUUUGAAAACAGAGCAUCACGCUUCCUUAGUUUUUUUUAUUAUUGUUUUUGUUGUUUAUUUUUUAGAAGUUAUGUUUUUAAUUUGUGUAUUAGUGAUUUUGGGUAUUAUGUUGUUCCUAUUUCUUUAGUUUAAUUGAGAGCAAUGUUUUAAUUUUUUAGUAAGAGUUUUGUUUUGAAACAUGUUGUUUUGGGGUUUUUAGAUUUAGUUUAAUAAAGAGUUUUAUUUAUGCUAAAGUUUUUAAUUUAUGUUGUUUUUAANNNNNNNNNNNNNNNNNNNNNNNNNNNNNNNNNNNNNNNNNNNNNNNNNNNNNNNNNNNNNNNNNNNNNNNNNNNNNNNNNNNNNNNNNNNNNNNNNNNNNNNNNNNNNNNNNNNNNNNNNNNNNNNNNNNNNNNNNNNNNNNNNNNNNNNNNNNNNNNNNNNNNNNNNNNNNNNNNNNNNNNNNNNNNNNNNNNNNNNNNNNNNNNNNNNNNNNNNNNNNNNNNNNNNNNNNNNNNNNNNNNNNNNNNNNNNNNNNNNNNNNNNNNNNNNNNNNNNNNNNNNNNNNNNNNNNNNNNNNNNNNNNNNNNNNNNNNNNNNNNNNNNNNNNNNNNNNNNNNNNNNNCAUUUGGUCGCGAACAAGUUUAAGGACUCAAAGAUAAAUUCUCCUUUAUCAUAACAUAAGUCCUGAGGACUUCAUCAGAUGAAAUGAUGAAUAAUGCCAAAUAAUACUUUAUUAAUUUGUCAAUUCAUUUAAUCAUCAACAUGCUGACGAUUGACAUUUAGGAUACAAUUCCCAACAAGGUGUUCCUCUCUUCCCUCCUUCUUCUUCCGUGGUAAAGAAAAGAAGAAAGCGUUUCUCCUUCUCCUUCUUCCUCCUCUUUGAAGCAAUCAAGAGUUGAUUGCUUAGAAGAGUUCCAACCAUCAAAAGGAAUCUCUACAAAGAAGCUAGCACCCCGGUGAGAUCACAACCUUGAUCGAGCAAGAUCUUCGUAUGGAUACUCGUACAAGCCGGACGCUUGUGCGGCUUCAAACGAACCCAAUUUCCACGAUCAUUAGAUAGCGGUGAAGAUCUACCCGCUCAAAGAUAAAGAUUUAAUCUUUACAAUUAUUUUUGUAGAUUUGAAAAUUAAUCAAGUAAUUAAUUUUAAUCUAUCCUUUAGAUUUUAUAAUCUUCUGAGUUAGAGAACUCAGAAUUUUUUUGAAAUCUACAUUUCUAGGGACAUUCAUGAGAUGAACGAUCCCGCGCGUGUCUUUCUACUGUGAUCGUCGCAACGCGUUCGGGGGUAACCUGACAGAUCCUUGGUCUCUGAGCCUUUAGACCUCUUUCCUCGCCAUCUCCCAGGAAAAAAAACUCAAAAACAAGCUCGACUAGCUCAUCAAUAGUUUGCAGGAGGAGUAGAGUGAUAAGCGAAAAUUGGAGAUUGCUCGUUCGCUAAAGUCCUAUCUGCCUGUUGAUUUAGUAUGUUCCUAUCCCCUUGGGAAGUUUGGGACACCCCUAAUGGUUAGUAUUGAGCAGCUAGGUCGGGCAGCUGUAAAAUCCUUACUCUUCUUCUUUUUCUUAGCCUGUUACAAAUCAGUUGCGAGUCUGGUUAUGAAUUAUUAUACACACUGGUCCCAUCCUUCUUUGUGCUUGCUGCGCUUCUUAUUAUGGAGCUGUCCAGCAGGGGAUGCUAUCAUUAGCAACAUCAAAAUCAGAAAAUGAGCACUCCGUGAUUUCAUGAUUAGGUGAUUAAUGCUCUAUAUGCCUAAGCAGUCUUUGGUUACCAAUCCGCUUCUUUGAUCCUUUCUGAUAACAGUAAGGUUGAGUUCAGAAAGAAGAUAUUCGUGUACAGAGUUGGCUAGUUUUUUAGCUAGCUAAAAACAAAAGGGUUGUUUUUGGGCUCAUGGAAGGAUGCUUGCUUGAGCCGAGUUUAUUGGUUUCGAGUGAGAGUUUCCAUGCCAUGACAUAAGAAGAACAAGCAUGUGAUUGUUAGUCCUUCCUCACUCGGUAGUUUCCACUGCCUGUCCAGGGUUGAGCCCUAGUAUUUGACGAUGAACUUGAAAAGCCACCUACAAUCUACCGAUGCUUUAUGCCCAAUCAUGUCAGAUAUCUGAUUAUUCCGUGUUUAGGAGGGGGAGUCUUUUCUAAAGAGUGAAGCUCCUCAUUCAUAUAGGGCUUGGUAGUUAUCGAGGUUUGCAAAGUCUAAAACUUCAGCAUGCUGGAAGCAACCAAACCCCUCAUUGAAUGUGCCACAUUGUUGGUUAGAGCAUGCCACUUGAAGUUGGAAAUUAAGUGUUACUAAUUUUUCUAGGAGCCAAACACUUGAAAUCGUGGAGUAUUAUUUACCUUUUUCUUUCUAGGCCUCCCACUUUUAGCACCUGAACUAUCGGUUGCCUUGGCUUUUUGUCUAGAGGAAACUUCCCUCUUUUGGGCCACUUGUUUCCUAGGAGGUCUAUCCUUUUUAGGACAUUUAUAUGUUUUGGCAUUGCGGCCCCACUCCAAGCAAUUGCUAUAUAUGAGAGGAGCCGCUUCUUUUGAUUCUGUGUUGGUCCUGAAUGUCAUCCUCCUUCCUUCUACACUUCUUUGGCCUACUAGGAGAUCUCCCUAGUGGGGGUGCAUCUAUUGGAUCAAACUAUAAGGGCUCCCAAAACUGAAUACUAGGCACAGAUGUAAUAACUAACUCAUAGGCUUUGAACAACAUAUCCUUGAAGUACCAAUGGUCUACAAUAUCCUCUACCUCUUUCCUUGAAAACAUGAUAGCUGCAGCUACAUGACAAUAGGGGAUUCUGAUGAGAUCAAACUUCCAACACCCAUAGAUUCUCCUCUCUAAGUCAACUGCAAACAUGUCAUUUGGAUGAUUAACCUUGAAACUGUCCCCACCGCCCCAUGUAACAUGGCAAUCCAUGUUAUGCAGAACACCUAACUCUACCUUCUUCUAGAUUUUAUGACAUCUGGUACCCCCAUUUCUCUGCAUAGCUUGUCUUUUAACCUAAAACUAUUGCAUAAGAAGCCUUCUUAUAAUCUCUAGCAAACUUAUAUGGAUAAAGAGAAAGAUAGUAGCUGGGGCUAUAAGCCUAUGCUAACAACUAUGGGCUAGAGAUAAACUAGGACAAAACAAAGUAAUAGAGUAGAUAAAUAAAAAUAAAUACAAGGUAAAAAAUAAGAAUAAAGAUAAAUAAAAUGAUAGAUAUUUGAUCGGUCAAAAAGUUUUUUUUUACAAUUAUAUUCCAAUAUUUAUAUACAACAUUUUAAAGAUCAAGUAACGUCGGCUCCCAAUAUCAAUAACUGUUUGGGUCUGUCCUUCACGUACCUCCAACAGUUCCCACAGUGAUGUUCCAUGAUUUUCCCAUUUUCUUAUUUUGGCAACUCCUCAUGUACUUCCCCAUAUCAUCACAAUUGUUAUUAGGCCGAAGAUUUUGUUUCCACACGUCAUUAGACUGAGUUGACCUUAGGCCUAUGAUCUCCGUUCCUUUAUUACAAUCGAGAAAAAAAAUAGUUAAUUUAACAACAACUAUGUAAAUAGACCUAUUGAGAAUGAUGUAAAAUUUAUCAUGGAUGUGUGUGCAUUUUUGUUUUAUUAUUUUCUUUUUGAAAUCUUCAAGAUUUUUAUCAAAAUUGUUUGUUAUAUAAUCCACUAUUAUUCUACAGUAUUUUGCCAAGCAUAUUAGGACUCUUUCAAUUUUCUUUUUCUUUCUUCUAGAAACACAAAAAUAUAAAAUCCAUCAACUAUAAAAUAUAUGCAAAAAAACUAUGAAAACGACAGAUAUUGACUCAUUCUCUUGACAUAUAGCCACGCCCGACUAAUUUAGAUUCGAUCAUCAUGCAACUAAACUAUAUGUCAGACAUGACAGCUCGGCUUUUUUAAUGUCAGUUUCAUUAUAUUUUUUUACAAAAUCUUCAUAAUUUUAUCAAAAUUACUAGUUAUAAAUCUACUAUUAUUCUAUAGUUUUUGGCCAGCAUAUUUUCAAUUUUUCUUUUUUUUUUACUGAGUAAACAGAAAUACAAAAAUCAUCUACUACAAAAUACAUGCAAAAAAUUAUGAAAACUAUAAUUAUUGCCAUGGUCUCUUUAAUCUACAGGUCAGCCGUGACAGCUAGUUUUUUUUUUUUUGGAGCUUGUUUCUGGUGAAAUAAGCUCCUAAAACGCAUCCUCUCCCCGGUAAUUAUAAUAAGACAUAUCAAGCGGAAAAUUUUCAAACAUGUCUACGAAGUCGCCACUCACCACCGGCAUGAACCAGUAAGAAAUAUUAUGAUCUUCCAAUGAGAGAAUUUUGACCAGCCAGACUUAAUAGAUUUAUUCGAGGCCACUCCCUUUUCUCCGCCCCAGACAUUCUUCCUAUUUUAGGUUGUGGCUGAGAGCGAAGCCUUCCUCCAAAAUCCAAAUCUAAAUGGCAUCCUCGCCCGGCGCCGCCAGUUAGCGCGCGCCACGCAACCGCGUGCAGGGACUCUUCUCGAAGCCCUUCUCCGGGCUUCGCCCCACCACCCCCUUCCUCCGGGCCCCACCAUACCCGGCCCGAGGCCUCGAAAUCUUAUAAAACUGGCCGCCAAAGGCCGCCGCCGUACCACCACUGGACACCGCACCUGUCGCCAGUCGCCACUGACGUCUCCUCCUCUUCUCGCCGUCGUCGAGCUCUUGUUCUCUCGCCGCUGCUCCCGUGGGACGAGCACCGGUUGGUUCUACGAGGAGGAGGAGGAGGAGGAGGGAAUCGGGGAGGGAGUAGAUGGGUGGGGGAGGACAGUAGUGGUGAGAGGGGAAUGAAAGGGAGGGCAACAUGCGAACCAUCUGCGACGUCUGCGAGAGUGCCCCCGCCGUCCUCUUCUGCGCCGCCGAUGAGGCCUCCCUCUGUCGACCAUGCGACGAAAAGGUCUCCCUUCUCGAACUCCCUCCCGCCUUCCUCUUUCUCUUUCUUAAACUGAAUUCUUUGGGAUUUUGUCGUUGUUGGAGCCAUCAGUUUUGCUGAUAUGAUAACUCGAGCAAUUGGCUCUGUCACGAUGGUAAUUAACAGAUUUUUUUUACAUUAUCUUCUUUGGCCGCUAUUUCGAGUGUUUGAAUGGAUGCCAGUGGUUUGGUUAUAAGAGAGAGAGAGGGAGGGCUUCGAAGGUGCGGGAGGGGAUCUGAAUGUGGCUAUUUUGUUGCAUGCUUGUUUAUUUCCUGGUCUUCUAUUCCAUAACAUCCUUCAUUAUAUAUAUAUAUAUAUAUAUAUAUAUAUAUCUGUGUGUGUGUGUGCGCGCGCGCCGNNNNNNNNNNNNNNNNNNNNCUACUAUAUAUAUAUAUAUAUAUAUAUAUAUAUAUAUCUGUGUGUGUGUGUGCGCGCGCGCGCCCCUCUUAUAGGACACUUAAUUAUGUCAAUGGAUUGAAUGAAAAUCUUGUGGCCAGUUACUUGUGCAGUGCUCACCUUCUGGAAUGUCAAUCUUUCUCCCUUUACCGACUAAAAUGAAGUUGUGAAACUUUAUAGUGUAAACUUAAUUCUUGUUCCUAGCAGUUAGUUAAUUAUUCUCUGCAGAUUUUUGGAAGUAGAGGAACAAAUUAUAUUCCUGAUGGCCCAUUAUUUGUAUUUUGCUCAUAAGGUGUCGGUUAUAUUCAGUUGUGCAUCAGAUGUUUAAAAAGUUGGUACUUUUUAAUUUUUUGAGGGAUUAAGAACAAUUUGAGGUUGCAACUAAAGGUUCUGAUUCAAGUCCUGGGUGAUGCAUCCCAAGUAUUUGAACUUGGUAAUUAUAGUGGGCUUGGUCUCCCUACCUCCCUUGAGAAAAAAAAGGAAAAAAAACAACAAUUUGAGAAUGCUAUCAAUGUUAAAUUGUUUAACUUGUAUGAUACGUUUAUUUAAAUUAUUUUACUAUCUAAAGUAGUAAUUGCUAUUUAUCAGGGAUAUAGUUCAUUGACAAUGCCUAUAGACUAGGCUAUUUUUCCACUUUAGGUGUUAAUGUAUAAUUAAAUUUUGUGUACGCUUACACUGUAAGCUCAUUUCCUGUAGGUGAUUGUUAUAUAUCUGAGGCUGCUGCUUUCUAGAAUAUGUUUUACCAUUGAACUUUCUCCUGGUUGUCUUGAUUGUUUUUAUGUAGCAGUCCAAUGCGUCUUAAGUGAAUAGGUAUCUCAGUGGUUGUUGUAUUCCAGCAUACUAAGCAGCUUUGGAUGUCUACUGUGAGAGAUCGGCUUCUUCAAAGUGGAUUGCAAAGAUUGGCUUGGUCUUACUUUCACAAAGUAGGAAUACAGUAAGAGUGGAAUAGGGAUUAAAAUGGGGAAUGUGAUACUGGAACCAGAAAUAUUUAAUCUUUUUUCAAGACAAGGUUUUAAAACUUGAUUUCAGUUUUGAUCAUUCAGGUGGAGUUUUGGUUUUAGUAGUUUUGGUGGUUUGAUGGUUUCACUUAAAGUUUUGGAAGGUUAAAAAAUGUUUGUACAAAAUUCAAAAAAAAGUGGAAAAUAGAGAUAAUCAUGGCAAGUUGUUUCACAUCAUUUUUGUUGGAUUUCGAGUAAUCUAGGACCAUAACCUGUGUAGCUUAAUUGAUGAACUUCCAUCCUCCUUUUCACUUUAUCAAUUCGAUGGUUUGACACCCACCACACGUGCCUCAAACUAGUAAGUCAUAAAUUGAGCAACAGAUAGAACAUGUACAAGAUUUUUUCUCCAUUUUUGAAUGCUUGGAAGAGUUGACAAUGAAGAGAAUGACUAGAUGCUUCCUUGAUAAGUAUUUAGCACUUAUUCUGAAGCAUGGCCUUGAUGGGUUCAUGUUACUUUUUUGACCAUCAUCGAUGAGUCAUUAGAACCGAACUGAUGUGGCCCUUCCUUUAGAUCUGGUUAUCAAAAUGCAGUUGAAGCAGUUUCAUUCACCAUUAGUCUCCAUUAUGAUGUGACACUAUGUCCAACUUCCAUAGGUUACUACAUGCACUUAACCAUAUCAGUUAUGCUGAUCCUUUAUUCAAAUAUUCUAACUUUCCUGUUCUCUUAGGGAUUAAUACCUAAAAACUCAGGACAGCAACAUAUUUGAUCUUCUCAGUAGAUAUGAGACAACAUGCUUACUGUUACUGAUGUCCUAGACCAGUAAGACAUAGAUUAGAGGUUGCCCUUAAUUUAUGCAUAGUACUCAGUUUUUUCAAAAGAUUAGGGGUGCAAAUGGGUUAGGUCGGAUCGGGUCAUGAAUGACUCUGACCUAAUUCGGUUUCUUGUUCGGGUCCUAAUGUUCGACCCAAGGUUCGCGGUACCGACGUACCGACGUACCGGUCGGCUCCGGUAACGGUACGGUACGGGUGCCGAACCGAGCCGAAUCGAGCCGAAUCGAGCCGAACCGAUACCGUACCGAUAGGGCACAUUCGGCCUGGUUUCGACCCCAUCGUUGUUUUUUUUUUGGAGUUCUUUCACUUUUGGAUAUUUUUUUGAUGUUUUUAUGUUUAGGUUUAAGGUUAAAAGUAGAUGAUGCAACUUAUUACUUCCAAAUGAUUCAAAUAAUGAGAUGAAGAAUAUAAAUAUUUUCAAAUUAAGAUACAAUUAAUUACAUACACUUAAAGCACUCUCGGAUAUGUAAAAUUGGGUCGAGUGACGAUGCUUCUCGUCAAUAUCUGGAUCAUCAGUAUAAUAUGGAGGCAGAUCAACCUAUCCCUCUAAUCAAGCGGCAUUGUAGUCUUGUAUGCUCAAUUCUCGAGGAAUGCGCGUCGGGUCAUAAGAACUCUCGGAUCUCUCGCUGAAGCUCUGGCUCUGAGAGGUGUCUUGAUAAGGGGCCCAUCCGAAUAUGCCGGCACCAAAAUCCGACCCGUAAGACCCUCUGGGCUGCGUAGGAUAGUAGCCACCGAAAGAUGACUCCGAUACAUCAUAUCCAUAGGCUGGCUGAGGCCGCGGAUAAUAGGAAGACUCGGAACUUGAUACAUCAAUGGAUCCGACUCCACAUGGGAGGUCAUUUGCAGCUGCAUCCUGGCCUCUUGAACGACCGCGAGGAGCUCUUCUUCGAUAUGCAAUGGUAUUCGACCGGCCUAUAUCAGACGGUCUACCGUGGUCCGUAUCUUGUGUAGCAUGCGUAAACUGAGACUCACCGGUGUAUCGAAAAUCUCCCUCCGGCUGUGUCUCAUAAGUAGUACCAUACUGUCCUCCAUUUUCUCCAUGGCUAGUAGAUCCAUCACCACCAGAACCUUCAUCGCUGCUGGUCCAAGUCUCCUCCUCGACACUCUCCAUUGGGGCUCUUUCCUUUCCUUUUCUUCUUUGCUGGGAUUGACGCCAUCCUGAUCGAGUCGACUGGAUACUAGAGCCUCCUCGUUCUCGCAUGAGAGGAUCAUCUCUCUGAACGGGAGCAUCGUACCAGUCAUGCGGUGACUGGCUCCCCUCUAGCCACGUCAUAUCAGCUGUAGGAGUGCGUGGAAUGUUGUGCUCAGCCUAUUGCUGUGGAUCGACCAUAGCCUCGGUGGCUAUGAUGCUGGCUGGUCGUCGAGGCGAUCCUGGCUCAUCAAGCUCGGGCUCCUGCUGCUGGGCCGCAAGCCAGUUGAGCAUAGGAUUAUCAUCAUCAUCUGCAAAAGUCCUAUAGAUGGGAUCUGCAUACUUGAGCUCCACUUCCUCCUGAAUGCAUUUUAGCCUCAACCGUAGAUUGUAGUGCACAUAAACUAGGUCGUUGAGGUGCUUUUGUGUCAAACGGUUUCUCUAUUUGUUGUAGAUGAGGUCGAAGGGGGACCAGUUGCGCUCACAGCCACUCGAGGAGACCGUUUGGGAGAGGAUCCGGAUAGCUAUUCGUUUAAGAUUUUUUGCGGAUCCGCCAAAAUGAAUCCACCAUAUAACUGCAAAAAUAUUGAAGAUAAUUACAUUUUACAUAUAUGAUGGCCUCAUAGUUGAAGAUAAUUCAGAUGCAGAGGUAUCUUGCAGAUUUGUAUUGUACCUGGAUUCAUAGUUGUCUUGCUCACGACAGCUGGUCGCUGUCCAAAGUCUCUAAAUAAUUUUGUUUGUGGAAAGAAGCUUGUUGUAGUAUGUCAAUAAUAUAAGAUCCGAUAUAUUUACAUAUGUUACUAAAUCAUAGUUACCUCUUCUAUACAUGACGAGGCGACUUCUGGAUUAGGCUCCAUCUUAUAAAUAACAUUACGUAGAGCAUAAAAAAGUUCAUCAUCCAUACCAAUUCCACUCUCGUACUGAAACCGGGGAUUCAGAUAGUAUGCUACACAUAGANNNNNNNNNNNNNNNNNNNNNNNNNNNNNNNNNNNNNNNNNNNNNNNNNNNNNNNNNNNNNNNNNNNNNNNNNNNNNNNNNNNNNNNNNNNNNNNNNNNNNNNNNNNNNNNNNNNNNNNNNNNNNNNNNNNNNNNNNNNNNNNNNNNNNNNNNNNNNNNNNNNNNNNNNNNNNNNNNNNNNNNNNNNNNNNNNNNNNNNNNNNNNNNNNNNNNNNNNNNNNNNNNNNNNNNNNNNNNNNNNNNNNNNNNNNNNNNNNNNNNNNNNNNNNNNNNNNNNNNNNNNNNNNNNNNNNNNNNNNNNNNNNNNNNNNNNNNNNNNNNNNNNNNNNNNNNNNNNNNNNNNNNNNNNNNNNNNNNNNNNNNNNNNNNNNNNNNNNNNNNNNNNNNNNNNNNNNNNNNNNNNNNNNNNNNNNNNNNNNNNNNNNNNNNNNNNNNNNNNNNNNNNNNNNNNNNNNNNNNNNNNNNNNNNNNNNNNNNNNNNNNNNNNNNNNNNNNNNNNNNNNNNNNNNNNNNNNNNNNNNNNNNNNNNNNNNNNNNNNNNNNNNNNNNNNNNNNNNNNNNNNNNNNNNNNNNNNNNNNNNNNNNNNNNNNNNNNNNNNNNNNNNNNNNNNNNNNNNNNNNNNNNNNNNNNNNNNNNNNNNNNNNNNNNNNNNNNNNNNNNNNNNNNNNNNNNNNNNNNNNNNNNNNNNNNNNNNNNNNNNNNNNUGGCCCGCUUUGUCGGACCGGUCCAACCAUCACACAUCAGAGUGAGCCCAUAUGUGGGCCACUUGCUCUUAUAUGAGCCAAUCCAAUUCUCUAGCUCCUCCUUAUUGUUGUCAAGAAGCUCACCGUAGAUGUCCCUCGGACCUGGAGGAUCGACACGGGACCGGCAGACUGUAUGGCAGAAAUGGCAGACUUGUAGUAUGUAUUGUCUGCAGCAUUCGCUGGAAUGUGGCUGAAGUGGAACCAGGAUCCAAUAGCUCGCCACAUAUCCUUCUUCUUCUCCUUCUUCCACAUUGUGUCUACCCUUUGCUGCUUUGAAUCUCUCCUGGGGAAGGCAUGCGGAUCUACAUCAUGGAUUGACGCACCUGGUGGAAUCCCUCCGGAAGAUUUCUUUCGGCCACCAAAACUACCCAGGAUAGAUGCAAUCCGGCUACGUCCUCUGCCCUCGCCCUCCCUGACUGAGGUUGUCCUUUGAAACUCUGGAUCUUGUCUGCUUCCACCAGAACUGGCGCCCGACUCGAAAAACGAGGGCCCAAAUCGAGCCUGAUGCCUCGCCACCUCCUCCUGCUGCCACCGAUCAUCCAGACUCGCCCGCAUGGCAGCUUGGAUUUGUGCCUCCUCAUCUGGACCCUCGACCUCCUGUGACUCCAUCAAGUGAUAGGAAGGUGCUUCUGCAGCUUGGCGUUCCACCUCCGCUUUCUGCUUGGCAGCCCUCUCCUUGGCUGCUUUGAUCUCAGCGAGGUUUUUCCUCAUCAGCUGACGGGUGCUCGGUGGGCACUCUGAGCAUGCAGAUAUCUCACGAGAAUUACCGGCUAAGUGCUGCUUUAAUCUGGUUACCCCUCCUCCU
rnacentral:lncRNA from 1 species